rnacentral:lncRNA from 1 species
UUUUUUUUUUUUAUUGUAAAAAAAUCCACUCCACAUUAUCAAAUUGGGCAUUUAUCUGUAAAUAGCAGCAAAAAUAAGAACAACAUUAAAAUAUAUGAGGGCCCAACCGGGUUCGAACCGGUGACCUCUUGAUCUGCAGUCAAAUGCUCUACCACUGAGCUAUGGACCCAAUUGUUUCUUAAUUCCAGUGUUAACAUUAAUAACCUUUGGUAUAAUAUUUCUCUUUAUUUGUAAGUAAGAGAUUUAGGUUCGAUUUUCGCCAAAUAUGAAUUUAAACCACAUUAUUAUAGCUAACGGGUGUGAGACUUAGUCCACUUCUCCAUCCUUUAGUGUAGAUAAUAUUGUUUGUUAAAAGAAUAAUAUUGUUUGUUAAAAGAAAAAAAAAACAUUAAUAACCCUUUAUAACUACUUAGUACUACAGUCCAAUGAUAUUCCUGUUCAUUUAUAAGUGAGAGGUCUUAGGUUCGAUUCUCACCAAAUGCGAAUUUGAACUACAUUGGUAGCCCAUUGCGAGGCAAAACUCAUCUCAUCUCCUUUAGCGUAGAUAAUAUCCUUUGUUAAAAAUUACAACAACAAAAAAAACCCUUUAUAAACAAGGCUGCUAAAUCAUAUAAAUUUGUUUAGACAAAUAGACUUAUAUGUCUAAAUUCCAGUUAGUCAUUGUCAAAUUUUAGUUUUUUCACUGGUUGUGCUAAUUAAAUUCUUAUGUGCAUUUAGAAGCUGCUCACACUGGAUGAUAAUAUUGUAUGAAAUGGUAUUUUGAGCUUUCCCAGAAACCCGCAGAUAUCAGAAAAAUUCAAACAUUCAAAACAGCCAAAAUUAAAAAAUAAAAAAUAAAAAUAAAAAUAAAUAAAAAAAAGGAAACCAAUUCAUCAUAUAAUUGGGUUUCUCUACACCAAUUCAUGAUCAACCUCUCUGCGUCUCUCACCCUCCCAUAAGCCCAAGGACCGCACGACCAAAACCGACCCCGCCACGAUCAAGGCGGCAAACACCGUCGGCACGAAGAAAUCCAAGCUAGACCGCUGAAUCAUGUGAGCCGGGAAGCACAUUGACUCUCUCGGAUAAUCCAAGGGUAACCUAACAAACCCCUCUCCGGUGCAAGACUUGGCUAAGGGUGAGAAGGGUGAUAUCGCCGUGAGGAACGCAAUCUCAGGAGAGAAAGACGCCAAGGCCACUGUGACUGACAAAAGAAGCGUCCAGGUGGUCAUGUAGAGAAACACCGGCCACCUGGACGCAGCAGCUUGGAGGAUGGGGUGGAAGAACGAGAGAGACAUUUCACAGAGUUGUGGAAGAAGGUGGCUUUAGGGUGUUAGGUUGUAGACAACACUUAAGGGAGCAAUAGAAGGGGGUGGAAGCACGUUGUAUGUUGAACCAUUUGUCCAAGUUUUUGGUGUUAUGACGAAAUUGUCCUCAUCUGUUGGUUCAGUUGCAUGUUCUCGUCCGUAGAGGGGGUCACGAUUUUCUUCUGUGAUUGUAUGGGGGCGGAUAGGAACACCACGUCAAUUUACCCCAACGUGAUCUAGGUACUGGGAAAUGUUUGGCUUUGGCGCUAACUAAACUUCAUAAGAAUACUGCGGCAAUCAUUACGAACCCGUUUAGAACUUGCCAAGCAUACUGCGGCAAUAAUGUUAAUGACUUCAGAAGAAUGCCGCGCGUUGAAGCCUUAGCGGUUAUUAACUACGAGUUGUACAGCUGCGGGUUACCCAAACUCACCAUUCUUAGCUCCUUCACAAUGUUCAUGAUCUCUCCCUUAUCUCCAGACCACUCUAUUCUCCCAGUUGGAACAAAUCUGCAGAUGCCUGCCAACACCAAACUUUCUACCAAGUUCGAAUCAGAGAAGAGUUUGUACAAACCUUAUUGAUUCCACCAAGCAUUUGAGUGUCAAAUUCCAAAUCAAGAGAACAGAACCCAUCAUUGAAGUAUCUGAACUUAGAUCUUGUAACGCGGGGGACUGGAGCUCUCGUGUUUCUUUGGUCAGACCAAACUGCACCAUCUGUUUUAACAAGGCCCUUCCUGAUAAAGGCUCCAAGUCAAAUGAUCUGAAGAUAAUUUCCUGCACCUGUUUUACAUUAGCAAUGGGCAACAAAGUUAGGAUAUAUCAAGUAAAUGGGAAAAUGGUUAUAGCAGCAAACAUAAACAGCAAUGAGCAGAUAAAUGUAGGGGUGCAAUUGCGAUUUUCUUUAAGGCGAAUGAGUAAAAGAGAUAAACUGGAAAAUUAACGAAAAUAAGGUUUUGCCGGGAUGAAAUAUGUUACCACAUUGCUCAGCUACUGUAUGAAAUGUGGGAAAUAGAGUUAAAGAGCAGUCAAUAGCAGCCAAGUUCUCUUCCUGUAAUUGCCCUGACGGUCAUUGACACAGUUAUUUCAAGAAAGCUUCCCAAUACUGAGGAAGCGACCACUUAUGCCUUGCCACUGGAGCAGUCUUUUACUUUCAGGCAUCAACCAAAGGGCAAAUGAGGAGCAACAAACCAGAAACCAAACUAGUAUCAGAGCUAGAAUAAAACUAGUAACAUUGCUUAUAUACGUCACAACUUCGACUCUAAAUUACACAGCAUAUGGUAAAAUAGUAUACUCACCAAUGAUGCUUCUCAAAACUAGUAGCAGAGCUAAUCUCCAAUAGUAUCCGGUUCAUGUCACAUCGGAAAAUAAACACCACAAGAUGAUGCAGCAUAUAGAGGCCAGGCCAGGGCCAAACCCAACACUUUAUUAUGUCUACAGACAAGGAUAAAACAACUUUUGCAGCAUACAUGGUACAAACAACACCUCAGGCAUACAUCCAAAUUCAUGAUUUGGACACAACACAACACACCUAACCACAUGCAACCUACAAAAUUUAGAUGGAUGCAUAUUCCUACCUCACAACAAUGCUGAUGAGUGCAAACUCUUCACAUUCGGCAGAGAUUCACCCAAUUAUGUGUAUUAUGGAAAGAGCUUCUGAAUUAAAGCACGGUUCACAGGAAGGCUGGAUACCAACAUAUCCUGCUAAUCCACGUUUUGCAAAAGCACUUACCAAUCCGAUAACGUACUUCUUCACCUAUAUGAAAAGUGAUGAACAAAAAUGAACUCGUUUAACAGAACAGAUAAAAGCAAGGAAAAUGUUAAACCCAAUUCGAAGCUCUGCAUACACCAGUGUCUCAACCAACCAUUUCAUACUUCAUUCAUAUGGAUCUCGAAGCUCUGCAUCAUAUCAUAUAUCUAACAAGACCCACAAUUGACAUAAUUGAAAGAUCCAACCCUAACAUACAAGAUAGAACAAAAUGGUUUGAAGGAAUCCUAGAACAAAAAAAGGGACACAUAUUGCAACAUAAUUUUGGGAAAAUUUGAGCAUUUUUUCCCCCAACUUAAUCAAAUCAUUAAUAAUUGAAAUACCAACUUAAAUCAGAAAUUGAAGAAAAUAAUCAAAUGGGUAAACACUAACAGAGGAAAUGGAUCAAUUAGGUAAAUCGUACUUUCAUUUAGAAUUUAAACCGCAAUAGCACAAUAUCAGUACUUAAUACUUACAUAAUCAAAAGCAUUAAAACCCAUAAACCCCUAACCCUAACCCUAAUUCCUUCACAACCAAUCUCAAACCCAAAUCCACAGAAUUAAACACAUUAACCCUAACUCUUCAAGAGCUAGUAAACUUAGUCACCGCCUUAGUCCCCUCAGACACCGCAUGCUUAGCAAGCUCACCAGGCAGCACCAAUCUCACAGCAGUCUGGAUCUCCCGGGAAGUAAUCGUCGGCUUCUUGUUGUACCUCGCGAGCCUGGAUGACUCCUGGGCGAGCUUCUCGAAGAUGUCGUUGAUGAAGCUGUUCAUGAUUCCCAUGGCCUUGCUGGAGAUCCCGAUGUCAGGGUGGACCUGCUUCAGCACCUUGAAGAUGUAGAUCUUGUAGGUCUCCACGCUCUUCUUCGAUCUCUUCUUCUUCUUGUCUCCGGCGGCGGCUCCGGCCUCCUUCGGGAGCUUCUUCCCGGCCUUGGGCUUCUUCUCGGCGGGGGCUUUCUCCGCCACGGCGGACUUCUUUUCCUCCGCGGGCUUCUUCUCGGCGGGCUUCUUCUCAGCUUUGGGCGCCAUAUCUUCUUGGCUUUUCUUUCUCGGAAAGCGAACGGAAACUUUGAGAAGACGAAAAUUGGGCGGACUUGGAAUUUGUGGGAUAAAAGGUGAUGCGGGCAAGGUCUGGUAUUUAUAUACGUCGUUGAUAAGGGGCAGACGCAGAUCGAUGACGUGGCGAAAAGUGCCCGUUGGAUGCGGUGGAGUGUACUGGGAGAUCGACGGCUCGAAUUGAAGCGUAAAGGAGCGGUUUGCUAGUUGAUUAGGCUGUAUACGUGGUGCGUUAUGAUUGGUAAUCAUUAAAUGGUGCGGAUCGAUGACCUCGCCUGUAUGGGCGAUCGCAAUGCUUAUUUAUAUUUGGAUAAUGUUAAUGACACGAAAUUUUUAAACUAAUGAUUUGUAAAAAAUAAAAUUUACAAUCAAAUAAUAUUUCACUAAAAAAAAAUAAAAACGUUAAUUGAUAUUUAAGUUGAUAACCUAAUCAUCAACAAUUACUGCAUUUAAUUUAUAAAAUUUGGAUUAAAAUUUUGAUCUCUCUAGUAUUAUCUUUUUUAUUUUAUCUUUCUUGACAACAGAAUUUUCAUUUUGAAAGUUAGAGCAUUUCCAAUGGUAUAGGUUAUGAGUGACGUGGUAUGUUGCUUACUUGUCUCAUUAAAAAUGAUUUAUCAGUUCAAUAGAUAAUCAAAAAUUGUACUUUCAUUACUUUCUUUUGUUUGCAUACGUAACUCAUCAAAACGAGUUUACUUAUUCCAUUGUCUAUAUCAUUCGAGAUACUCUUACAAGGAUGCUUGACAGCUUGUAGAACUACAUGAAUGAGUAUUUUCUAGAAGAGAAAUUUCAUAUUUUUUAUGGAAUAAAUUAUUUUUGUAUUAAUGUAAUGAUGUUUUAUAUAUGCAAGUGAGCUUUUAGUUUAGGAAUUAACAGUAUUCCCUUAAGAUUUAACCUUCCCUUCUAUUAUAAAUAAAGGCACAAUGAGGUGAUAUAACACACACCUCACAAACCACAUCUCUCUCUUCUCUCUCUGUGCCCCCGACCCUUCUCUCCCUAGCCGUAAAUACAGUUCAGUAAAUUAGGUCUAUAAUACAUUAUUAGCACGCUCUUGCCAAAAGCUAAGGAACUGAAGGAUCGUGGAUGAGGCUCUUCUACAAAAUCAAAGGCUCAAUUGUUUUAUGUCAAUCAGGUUCUUUUAAAAUAAAUUAAAAUAUUUCAAAUGACCUUGAAGCAUGAAAUAUUCCCCAUGACGCAUAAAUGCUCUAUAUUUAUAUUUUCCUUCCAAUUAUAUAUAUUGCAUAUGUUUUCAUAUAAUUUGUCAAUAUAUAUACUUGUUCAUGCAAUAUGAAAUUAUGCUAUGUGGAAUUUGUGAGUCAAAGCAUCGCAAUUAAUUUAGAAGCAAUUAUGAUUUUUAACCCCGGAAAUCGAAAAAAUAAAUUUUUUUUUUUUUAUGGAUUUCUCGCGGCUCCACGUUGCACUACUGAGCUAAGCCAACUGGUCUGCAGCCACAUCAUUACUCGGACGACGUCGUUUCGACAUCAUAGACCGCUCGUAGUAGCCCCGUGGGCUUGUUGCCAAUGCACCAACAACCAGGCCUCGGCCUGGGUUGGAUUCCUCACGGGCCUAAAGCCCUAAGUCCACCAGCAAGCUUGCAAGCCUUGUUGGGCUUUGUCCUUGCCUCGGCCCAUCAUGCCAGCAAGCUUAUGCUUGCUAGACUUUGCCCGCAUAUGAUUCGGCCCGCAUGCAGUAAGCUUUGCUUGCUGGGGUCGUCUUUUUCCCUGGCCCGCGACCAUAAAAGCCAGCCCUUGUGGAUGGGCUUGCCUAGAACCUGGCCAAAUCAAAGCAAGCCCUUGGUUGGGCCUUGCGCGCAUACCCCAGACCAGCCUACGUGCUGGGCUUAUUCCUUCGGUCCAUUUUUUUGCCUAAAACCAACAGCUUAUGCUGCUAGGCUUCAUCCUAGAAACAGCCCAUGGCCUGCAGCUAAGAUUUGGGCUCCUUUGCAGCCUUUCCCCGUGGCUCAAAUAGGCCUGCAACUCUUGCAGAGCAAAACCCCAUACACUGCAGCCAGCCACCAUGCUGGCUGUGAUUUUUUCGAACCCAAUGCUAUGUUUUUGGCAUCCCCACUUCAUAACUAUACUCCUAUAAUUUUUAAGACAUUUGGUUAACACUUAUCAAGCGAUAAUUUUAUUGUCGCUUGGCUCGAAGCCAAAAUUCAAGCUACUAUUAACCCGAAUGUUAUUAUUUUGCUCAUACGAUGGUUACAAUCUAUUAAAUUAAUUAAAAUGACCAACAGUCCAUUAAUCUGACAAGACAUCCAAAAUUAUUGGCUUGAAGCCUACUUUUUGGCAAUUAACGAUUCAAUAAAUUAUUUCUUCUUUGAACCGUUGACUAUCUUUCGUAGUCUCGAUGCACUCACACUUGGGUUCCUAAAGCAAUUCCCCAAAUUCAUUACACUUAGUUGUAUAUUGUAUUCUUUGUUCUUGCAGGUACCCCUAUACAUGAACUAGAAGUUCAUAAUUAUCAAACUUGUGGUUUCAAAUUUAGCGCAUUUGAAAUCGAAAGUUUUCAUUCAAAACUUACAGCAUGAAACUCGUAGCUUUCAUGUUUUAAAUUAAACCUAUACAUGUCUAUAAAACCCGAAUGUUCUACGAUGUAUGCCUAUGACAUUCCAUACGACUAACCAUGUUUUGUUGUACCUUAUGUUUUAGGGACAUGUUGAACUUGAAUAAGCUCGAUUUCACCGCUUUGGAAGUAUCUGGAAGAAAUUACCUAAAGUGAGUUCAAGACAUGAAGCUCCAUCUUACCGCAAAAAGUCUUCGUGUCACGCCCCGAUCCCGAGAUACGCUCGGAAUCAACAAGCGACGAUAGGACAGUAUCGGUACAAUAUAAAAUACAUAGAGUCACUAAGACUCAUACAUAUAAUAUACAUCAAAGCUCAGCGGAAAAAAAAUACUUAUAACAAAGGGAGGUAAUACUUACUCUCGAGUGCGCUGUCCACACAGCAACACCACAUGCAAUCUUCUCCUCCAACCGCUACCAGUUACUCUGCAAAAUAACCAUACGCCGUGGAAAUGGCGCACUAGGCAAAGAAAAAUCUGGAUAAGCUACGAAGCUUGUGUAAGUGACAAUAAUACAACAUAUGUGAAAAUAAAUAUCAUCAAAUGAUUAAUGAAAAGUAGUGCUACGUCCACACAUGACUUUUCUCUAAAUAUCGUGUCAAUCCAAUCACCAUCAAUAUUAUUCCGUUAUUUUCUUCGAAUUGUGACUCACCACUCACCUUUCAUCAAUUCCGAGUAAUCACAAGGGUCCAGUCUCCACAUAUAUUAUAAUUUAACCACCAUACACCUCAUUAAUACUUAUAGGAAUGGUUAUUCAAUUUUGAAUCUCACCACACAUCUAUCGUGAUAACAUUCAGUCAUCACACAACCCAAAGUUAUGUAAGAAUAACGCACCAUCAAUAAUUCAACCAUGUGUAGGAAUGAGAUUGGUAUCUUUUUCAUCAUUGCAUCUCUUCGUUAUGAGUAAGAAUGAUUCACAUCCGGAUCCGAUCUCUUUUAGGCAACACUAUCAUGUAAACUAUUUGAUUUAAUUGUCACUUUCUAGAUUGAGCUACACAUGCCUUCUUAUCUUUCAUAUAUGUAAUAAACAAUAGUCUAGGGCUAUAGAGAGACACAGUUCGGUCAAAGCCUAUAAUAGGCAACUGAUCAAGAUGUGGUUCCCCAUUACGGAUUAACCAAGCAUACCAACUGUGUAGGUAAAGACCUCCCAUUGCGGAUUAACCAAGCAAAGUCACUCAUAACGGAUUAACCAAUCAUGAUCACUCAUAACGGAUUAACCAAGCAUGAUCACUUUUAAAAUGCAUGAUCACUCAUAACGGAUUAACCAAGCAUGAUCACUUUUAAAAUGUAUGGCUAUACCUAAAUAAUAGGGAUCGCCCAUCGCGAAUUAACCAAGCAUGAUCCCAAAGUAGUAUGGUCCCCCGUUGCGGAUUAACCAAGCAUGACCAUCCAUGUACCACUGCUACAUGGUGCAGAUUCUGAUUUUAUCCCACAUCACCUUAUGUAUUGGGUUAACGGUUAUAUACUAGCCCUCACAUAUCACAAUCAUAUCAAGCAUAUCAUAAAUAUAUAUUUUCGAUAACAUCAUCAAGUAAACAUAGCAUAGUAACACACAUUUCUAUAAAAUCAUUUGUAAAUCCAUGUUAUAUCCACAUAGUAUAUAACAAGGAAUUUCAUGGGUAAUAACCAUAUCAUAUAAUAUGGAGUUCUUCACACUUCCAGAUUCACCAACACCUCAAAGGAACCUAAUACAACAUGCAAAUCUCACUUAGGAAACUUAGUAAGACUGAGACACAAACCGAGGCCAAGUGUCACUUGCACGUAAAUUGAGAGCACGUCAACAAAGAAUGACACGUCAUCGUGGUAAGCCAACUAAGCUCCAUCAAGCCUCAACAACAUUCUAAAAAUAACGACACAUUAGAACGGUCAAACUAGGUCUCACUAAGGUCAACAAACUAAGGUUAUUCAAUCCAAAGAUCCGCACAUCAGAUUUAUGAUAUGUAGGUUCUCAAAGGUCCAACAACUAGUAACUAGGAUGCUCACAAAAUUGCACGACAAUCCAAUGAUCGGAUUGUCGUCAAUCAUACAAACGAGUAGGGGUCCAAUUUGAUCACCACACCAACCAAUUGAAUUUCGAAAAGCCGAGUUAGACACAGGUUCACAAGGUCGCAAAAAGGUCUUUGGUAGUUAGCUAACACUUGUGGACAGGCCCACGCACCACCACACGCGAUGGUAGCCAAGGUGGAGGGUUUAGAAAACUUGAGUUUUCAAUCUUAACCAAAAGGGCUCAAAUUUACGAGGUAGAUAGAACUCAAGAAGGGAAACACUUUUCACAACUAAGCAAACGACAAAUUCAAGCCGUAAACCGUCCAAUUUCAUUGGGGAAAACAAGAUUUCUAGGUUUCUAAACACCCAACACUAAAACAACUACAAAAGCACGAACCAAGCAUACCAACUUGAAGAUUAUGAAGAGUAAAUGAAGUUUCAUACCUCACUUGAAGGAAAUGGUCGCCGAAAUCACCGGAAAAAUGACAAAAUCACCGAAAAACUCACGGGACUUUGUUGCCUCAAAAUGGAAAAAUGGAUAAGAAAAUGGGAAAUCUAACACUACAAAGAUGUAGGAUUCGUCAAAAGCUAUCCAUGGACACCAAGAUCACCCAAAACGAAGCUUGGACGGAAGAGAAACGAGCAGGUCAAGUUGGCAGGUCGGCGACCGGAUCACACCCAAAAUGGAUCUACAAUUGGACGCCCUAUUUUUGGAAACCUUCUGGAACUUUUUGGGAGUUGCCCCUCCAUUUAUAGCAUUUUGGCCAAAUUACCAAAAUACCCUCCAACUUCAAAUGUCUCUAACUUCUUCAUUCUAACUCAAAAUUGAGAUCCAUUUGUGCCUACACACUCAUGGAAUCAAGCUUUACCUAAACAACUUAAGAUUUGACAGAAAAGGUUGAGAUUCAAAAUGACAAAAACACCCUUCACUUCAUUUUUCUCGAAAUUGGAGAAUUAACGAACUAGCUUCAAUUAAAUCUUCGAAAAUACGUUUAAAAGAAUUAAAUACUAAUUUUGGGGACGGGAUAUCACACUUCAAGGUACUAUCGAGAAACCUACCGACGACCCAGUUGACGAAGUUCAGAAAGCUAUUACUAUGAUUUCAUCCGAAGACACAUCUAUGAUGUUGCAAGUCGAGUACCUCGCAAAGGAUGAUCCACGUACCUCGCAGUCGAUCACCAAAAAGACAUUUACUUGCCUGAAGCAAGACACAACUAGUAGCAUUUAUGUUUCCAAGACUUUAAGUUUGUGAAUGAAUACAACUAUGAAGUUUGUAGAAUCCGCUCAUUGCUUAAGUUCUAUAAAGAUGACUUAACCGAAUAGAAUCUCCUGGAGAAGACAUAUUCGACCUUGAAUGCCACCAACAUUGUCAUGUAGCAAUAAUAUAGGGCACAUAAGUUCACCAAAUUUUCAGAUUUGAUCUUUGUUUUACUUCUCGUUGAAAAGCAGAACCAUAUUUUGAUGAAGAAUCAUCAAGCUCGACUUACUGGCUCGAACGCUCAUUCUGAAGCGCAUGCGACUAAUUCUAGCAACCACAACCAAUGGAAACCCCGUCGUGGUCGUGGAAAUAGGCAGUAGGCCUAACCAAUGGAGGAAAUUUGACCCAGAAGCGCCAACCCCUUGCCCUUAAGACCCCAAACUUCAAGAACAAGGGAAAAGCUACUGUUCAAUUGCCUUCCACUGAAUUGGACAUGUGUUACCGCUGUGGAUCAAAAGAUCAUUGGUCACGCAUAUACCGAGCUACCCCCGAGGCCAUUGCUAAGUAUCAUUCUCGUCAUGAGUCUAACUUUGCAUAUGUGGUACAUCCCGACGAUACUACCACAACUAUAGAGGUUUUAGAUUUUCAAGAGGCAUUCGCUCCUGUGGAAGAAUAAACUUUUAUUUUUCUAGACAUGUUAGGGUGUUUUUCACCCCUAGGGGGUGAACCCCCUAUUUUUCUCGGUUUCUGGUUUAAUUUUUGGGACAAUUUUUCUAAGUCUUUGGAAUAAUUUGUUUGGUUUUGGUUUAUUUUGAAUUAUGGAUAAUUAUUUUUAUGGAUAUCAUUUUCUCGAUUGAUUAAUUGAAUGAAUGGGAUUAUAAUUAUCCAUGUGAUCGAUUCAAUUAAUUUAUUUCUAGGUAUGACUAGUGGAGAAGUUAGUUGCCUGGCUGAUAGUUCUACCACGCACAUUAUCUUGUGUGAGCAACACUAUUUUACUAACUUCAUACCUAAAAAUGCAUCUCUAACAACUUUCUCAGGCUCAUCCAACCUAAUAGAAGGAAACAACAAGGCCCGUAUAAUGUUGUGGUACUGAAUUAACCAUUAAAGAAGCCAUUUAUUCUCCCCAUUCCGGAAGAACAUUGCUGCAGGUAGGUAUAGGGUACGGGACAAGGCUCUACAACAUGGGGCUCCUGGUUUUGGGCUAACGAUGCAUUGGACAAGUCCAAGAAGAGCUACAUGCCUUCUUGGUUUGGGCUGGAGCUGCAGGCCUGUGAAAACCCUACUAGGCCGAGGGCUUGGGGUGUCUUGCGUGUGCAGCAAAGCCCAAAGGGCUGCUGCCUUGUGGUCCAGACAUCAAACGACGUCAUCCUGGUGGGGUGCUCCACAUGGUUGGGCUAUAGGCCAGCGAUGGUGCGGCAUGAACCGCGGCUUGUGCAGCAAAAAAAUCCCAAUUUUUAAUUUUUUUUAUUUUUCUAGGGUUUGAAGAACCCUAAUUGCUUCUAAUUUAUUUCGAUGUUUGACUCACAAAUUUCACAUAGCAAAAUAAAUAAUUGUGUAAUGCAUGAAACAUACACACACACACACACACACACACACAUAUAUAUAUAUAUAUAUAUAUAUAUUGACAAAUAUAUGAAACAUAUACAAUAUAUAUUGGAAGCUAAAUAUAAAUGUAGGGGUUCAUGCAUCAUGGGGAAUGUUUUCAUGCUUCGUGGUCAUUUCAAAUAUCUUACUUUAUUUUAAGCGCACCUGAUUGGCAAAAAACAAAUAAAAGCCUUUGAAUUUUGUAGAAAAAAGCCUCCUCCACGAUCCUUCAGUUCUUUAGCUUCUGGUAAGAGCGUGCUGAUAACGUGUUGUAGUCCUAAUUUACUGAAAUAUUCUAAGGUAAUAAAAAGGAGGAUGCCGACGACAAGAAAGAGAAGAGAGAGAUUUAAUUGUGAGGUGUGUUGUAUUUCACCCCAUUGUGCAUUUAUUUAUAAUAGUGGGGAGGUUAAUUCAUUACCCUAAUAGGAUUACAACUCUAAAUAAUAAUAUCUAACCCUAGAGAAUAUUCUUAGAUAUCCCAAAUAUACUAGGAUUUUCAUAAUCGCAUUCCUAUAUUAAAUAUGACUGAAACAAAAUGAUAUUUCCCCACAUGCUACUAUUUCUUAACUAACCUCUAAUAUAUAUCUGCAAUUAUAAACUUGGCUCUUAGAAAAAUCGAACACCGAUCUUGAAUUGAAGACAAAUAGGAGAUCUUCGUGUGCUGUCUUUCAAAUUCAUAUAGGGGUUCAAGGAAUUGGAAUUGUUGGUUUUUGAAGUACUACUUUUUUUGGAGAAUGGAUUUGGGUGUCCUUCCUUCUUGAUUCAAAUUGCAAAGAUCAUUUUUUUGAUUUUUUUUAAAUUCCCGUUCCCGUUAUAGAGAAUUGGUUCAAUUAAUUUGGAUUUUUUUUCUUCUCAAUUUCUAGACAGCAGCUCUUCGCUCCUCACUCAACUUGCCUUCUUUGGGUUUCUUAUUCGAUGAACUGAUUGUCAAAACCCAAGUAAAUUAAAUCGAAUUACAAACCACAACAUGAAUCUUUUUUUUUUUUAAUUUUAUAAGAAAAUAAAUCAGGGACGUGGCACGUAACUGCCAAAUUAAAAUGAGAUAAAAUGUAUGGAAAGAAAACAUUUCUCUCCCCUGUGAGAGUCUUUCUCACUGUUGUGUAAGUGGUUUUUUGCUCUCUUUGAUUUUCGUCGUCGCCGGCCCUAACUUUGGUUAGGGUCGGUGCCAGUCCUUUGUUUUUCAUGUGUUCUUUGUUUUUGUGGUUUGUGGGGUUUCAAUUUUUUCUUGCUUUUUCUGUUGCAUGUAUGUUUUCCUCUCCUUCUCUGCCACUUUCACGAUUUGUUACUAUCCUUUCUCCUUUUGCUUUUGAUCUCACCUUUUUGAGACCAAACCUCCAAUCCCCUGUUUCCUCCAUCCUCUUUGACCAUUUCCCCCUCUUUGACCCACCCCUCCAUCUACUGCAUCAUCUUGGCCCGCCAUACAUCCCCCCCUUUCACCUUUACCUCUGUCCUUAAUUUUGGUUGGUUCUCGUCUCCGUUUACCGCAAUCUGUCGCAGAUCUUUGGGAGGGUGUGUAGAGCUUUAGCUCGGGUGUUCGCACCACCACCCUUGUUGACCAUUGUUGGUCCUUCCCGUAGUUUGCCCUUGUUGGCGUUGUUGCUCGUGGGUUCUUCCUGCCUGCUUCUUUGUUCUCCUGGCGACGGUUCUUGCUAGUACUUUAAGGAAGUUAUUGCUUUUGUAUUCAUCAUUUCUAGGGUUUUGGUGGUGUGAUCUUAAGUGAUCGUGAUUGGAGGUUGAUCGUGACGUUUGUUGGGUGGCUCUCCGGUGUUGGUUUCGGCGUCUCCAGCUUCUGGAAGACUGGAUAUUUAGGUCUUUUUUGUGUUGUUUGUUUGUGUGUGCUGUACUCUAAGGUUGGGCUUGGGGCUUUGCCUUUUGCUUGUGUGUGGCCCAUUUUUGUUUGUGUAUAACUUGUUUUGGCCUUUGUUGUACUUGUGUUUGUUGGUAAUGAAUUUACCCUUUGUCCCAAAAAAAAAAUGUAUGGAAAGAGAUCCUAUCCGGACUCCUUUCCACCUAAUCCACCUAGUCCAGGAUCCGGACCAUUGAAAUUUGAUCAAACGGCUACAAACAGGGCCCCCCUUUAAAGUGAUAAUAAUUGUAGUCAUUAGAUCAAAUUCCAAAGAUCUGGAUCCUGGACUAGGUGGAUUUGGUGGAAAGGCAUCCGGGGAGGAUCUCUUUCCAAAAUGAAUCUAACCCAACCAAUACCACUCCUCCAUUGUAAGAGAGGGAGCGAUUAAUAUCUCGGUUAAUGCUGGGGAGACCAAAAUUUUAAACCAAAUUUACAAACCAAAUUAUGUGUCACCAAUAGUAAAUAGACACGUUAAUCAACGUUUAAGUAAUAAUCUAAUCACCAACAUCCAUAUCAUUUGAUUAAUAAAAUUUAGUUUAGAAAUUUGAUUUCCCUAAUAUUACAGAAAUAAAAUAAGAAAAUACAAAUAAAACACAGUGAUAAUAAUGUAGGGAAAAAAAGAAACUUAAAAUUCGUUUUAUUGAAAAAGAGAAGAAGAAAAAAAGUAAAUAAAAAAGAGAACGUGUUGAACCCCUCAAAAGAAAUUAGAACGUGAAAACUGAAAAACUGCAACACAUAAAGCAAUUUCUUCAAAUUGAACUACCAAUAUCCUUCCAUAAAUAUUUUCAUUGCUUCUGUAAGUUUUAAAUUUCUAAUUUCUUUUAUGAUCGACUUUUAGCUUUUUAGUUAGAGUUUUGACUUGCAGACGACCAUAUUGUUGUAGAGCAGUUGAGGGAUGGGAUUUUCAUUAAGAGCAACUCCACCCUUGGAGCCCUUCCUCCAGGCAAUCCACUAUUCAAUCCACCCUGGGAACAGUAACUGUCAUAAUGAACAGUAACUACCUUUUGCAUAUCCACCCUUGCACUUGAAUAGCCCUGACAAUAGGCAAUAAAAUAUUUAUUAUUUUUUUUUUUACAAAAUAAUACUAAAUAAUUUUUUUUGUAAUUUCGGAUAAGAUAUUUUAAAUCGUUUUCGUUGCGCCAUGUGUCAUUUACCCAAAACAUAAUUAUAAUUAAAGUAGGUAACAAAUAAAUAAUACAAACAAAUAAUUACAAUGUAAAUUUGGGUAUAGUACAAACAAAUAAAUAAUAUAUUGUUACCUGAUCCGUGUAAUUUUCCCCACUUCGAAGAUUACUACUAGCUUGUACCAAGGCGUCUCUCCAAAUAGUAAACGAUUGGCUAAGUAAUUUCCAACGACUAGACAUCGAUUCUUUGGUUCUACUCCCACCCAUUUUCUCAAGAUAAUUGGUAUGAAUAAGACUCCACAUUUCUCGCAACUGCAUCUCAUUACCCGUAAGCGAACUAUGAGUAACUUCAACACAGCUAGUACACAACGCAACAUCUUCAAGAAGCGACCAAUUCGUACCUGCAGCAGUAGUCAUUUUGUUGAAAAAAAUUGGAUUGAAACUUUGAGAGAAAGAUAGGAAUUUGAUUGAAAGUAGUUGAGAAAAUAUGAAAUUGUGGUGUAAGGUAGAUGAUAAUGAGAAAGUAUUUAUAGAAAAGUAGAAACAUUUUUUUUUAAUUUUCAAAUAUUUUUUUUCGGAUUUUUUACAAUUUUUUAAAUUCUUUUAUUCAAAUAAUUAAUCUCUGGUGUUGGAUUUAAAAAAAAUUGAAAUCCAACACUUCAGAUUGUGCCACAUGUCACAACGGUAACUUUUCUUAAUUUUAAAACUAUUUUUUCUUUUUUUUUUAAUUUAUAAAGCAGAUUAACAUCAAUCGUUGAUCUCAAAUCGAACGGUUGAUAUUAAAUCAGUUUAUUUUUUUAUUACCGUUGGAAAUCGGACGGCUCGUAUUAAAGAGCCGUUGGGAUCGAACGCACCGUGGGAUGCCACGUGGCUUCCCAACGGUCACCUGCAUUUCCUAGCGUGCGGGCCCUGUGCCCUGUAAACUUGUCGGCUGACGCGCCCCCACUUGUGAGUGAGGGGCACGCGCCUGACAACAACAACAACAACAAAGCCUUUUCCCACUAAGUGGGGUCGGCUAUUGAUGACACAAAAAAAAUUAAAAAAUCAUACCCAACUCAGGCUGCAGGCCUGUCAACUCUCCACGGGCCUGGCCCUCGGGCUCCCACAUUCACUCGGGCUGUCCAAGGCUAGAGGCCUAUCCACCGGCCCUCUGGCCCUUUCCCUUCGCUUGUCCCCCGAGCAACCACUAAGGAUGGAGUUGCUCUAAAGGGAAGUAGUGUCUUAAGACUUUUUACUUCAUCUGGUACGCUUUUUUAUUUAUUCAUUAAGCAAUUAGGCAAAAGCAAUCCUUGGUCUGCCACGAGAUGCUGAAUUUUGAUUUAAAAUUUACGCUAUCCAUGUUUGAAAUGUGACUCUGUUGCCUCACUUCAUUUUAUGGUUUAGUUCAUAACCAACAAAUUCAUUACUUUAGAACUCGUUUGGAUGUACUUUUAAAAUGACUGAAAGUGCUUUUAAAGAAAAUGUUUUUUGGUUUCAAAAGCACUUAAAUGCUUUCUGUAAAAGCACAAGUUAUGUGCUUAUUUAAGGAAGCACUUUAAGUGCUUUUCCAUAAUUUACUUGUAUUUUUACUAAGAAUUGGUUCCAAAAAUAUUUUCACCAAAAGUGAUUUCAAUCAUUUUAAAAGCAUAUCCAAAUGAGCUUUUAAUUUCCUUUCCAAUUAAAGGAAGCACUUGCAAGCUUCCACCACCAACAGGAUCCUCUCUGGAUCCUUUUGGUGAGGAUGAUGGGGAUCCGUAAAUCGUGUAUGUUCAUCGUACAUCGUACGGUCAAUUUUUGUCAAGUACUUUUUAUAUUUAUUUUUAAAUAAAAAUAUUUAAAAUGAUUUCUGACUGCACGAUGUACGAUGAACGAAUACGAUUCACGAAUUCUCGAGAUUCUCACAAAGAGAAUCUGACGAGGCAAGAACCACUAGGCCACUUGUAGUGGUUUCUUUUUGCGCUUGUGCGCAGUGCACUGUGAUGUAAAAAAGUUUCUACCAAACAAGCGCAAAAAGAAACCACUGCAAGUGGCCUAGUGGUUCUUGCCUAGUUAGGUUUGCUCCCCAGCCUAGGUUCGAACCCCAGCCUAGGUUCGAACCCUGAAGCUUUCAAAGUGGCUAGGCAUUAUGCUGCAAUGCAUAGUUGGAGCAUUUCACAUGCGAAUGAGGGAUUCGUCCUUGGGCCUAGGACGACUUUGGGAUACCCUUGACUUAGUUAAAAAAAAAAAAAAACGCAAGAAGAAAAACAACUAUUAAAUGACCUUGAAGGCAAUUUAAGUGGAGGAUUAAACAGAUAACAACGGACAUUGUAAUUUUUAUUUCAGCUUUUUUUUUGGUAAUCCGCACGUAACUUUUGCAAUUAUAUGAGUGUUUGCAGAAAGAGAUGGGAGGUUGGUAGUUGUGGGUGGGGCCAAGUUAAUUAAUGAAUAUGAAGGAAGAGUUAAUAAGAGAUGGGCGUUUGCUGCCUUAGUCUCUAAGUUGUUUGUUGCCUUCCCCUGGUGGAUUAGGCUUUCCCUUUUGUUUGAUGGUGCCUUGAAUUUUCUUCUUUGCCCAGCUUUCUGAUGUUGUUCUCUUUGGGCUUUUGCCCUUUUAAUAAUGGUGUUUGCAGAAAGAAAUAGGAGGUUGGUGGUUGUGGGUGGGGUCAGGUUAAUUAAUGAAUAUGAAGGAAGAGUUAAUAAAAGAAAACUCAUCGUAUACCACAAUCAUCAUUUAAUUAACUAAUUUUUCUUAAUUAUUAAUUUAUUAAAUAAUGAACUAAAUUUAAAAAUCUGAUUAAUUCAAAUGAUGUGACUAUCCACAUCAAAUAUCACCUAAGAUGGCAUAGAAAUAUGGUAUAAAAACAUGGUAUGAAUAGCAUUACUCUUCAUAUGUGGGAAAAAGAAAAAAAAAGGUUAAACUCCAUUAAUUUCUCAACCUGUUCAUCUUCUUUCUUGGUAGAUUGCAGAUUCGCCCAACUCCUAAACAUACAAAAUCCUUUUUCUUUGCUGGGUUCAAGCCCUUGUUGGUGUUGCGCAUGGUGGACAACUUGACCGAGGAUUUGACAGAGAGCAGGCGACCAAGAUGAAGGUUGUGAAGGGAAAGGCGAUCUGGUGCUGUCGAUUUUAGGCUGGUGAGGAGAGUGGGGAAGUUGAUGGACGACAAGAUCUUGUCGUUGAUUAGGCGAUGAAGGCUCAGAAGAUGGCGAUGUUGGAGGCUCUGAACCUUCACCCACUCCUCAAGCUUCUGCAACCCACAACUUCUACAACCCACAAACUCCAACCUAUGAAAGCUGCAAUUUUCAGCAGCCACAAAGUCCCGGGCUUUACGACCCGCUGCAUUUGUAGAAUCCUGGGAUUCACGACCCACUGCAUUUUCUACAACCCACAAAAUCAUAAGUUUUAUCUCAGAAAGAAAAAAAAAACAUAAAGAGAUGAUGGAAAAGGGAAGAGUGGGAUGGGGUGUAACAAAAGAUGAUGGGAGGAAUCUAGGUUCUUUAUUUAAUUAAUUUGAAUUAUAUUCUAAAAAUAAAUAAUAAGUGUCAUAAGUCAUCUUAGGUGUCAUAUGUUAAUAGGUGGUACUCCAGCUCAGCAACUAUGCCCGUCAUCUGGAAAAAUUUCUCGGUUGGUUGUUGUGGGUGGGGAGAAAUUUUUAGUUGUAACGGAAACACAAGUGGUACACUACGUGUUUUAAUAGGAAUGGUAGGAAAUUUUAUUUUUUAAGUUAUUAACUUUUUAGCACACAUAUUCCAUCAUUUGUUUAAUGACACGUGAUGUAUCACCCCAUGUACCGGUCACAUUGAAAAAUCUCUCGUGCGUGGGGCCAGUUCAGUGGGUUGUGGAUGGGUCCAAGUUAAUGAAUAAAUUUUUGGUUUCUUUCAUUAUUAAAAGAAAAUAAAUUACUACAAGAAAAUAUUUGUAUAGUAAAAGUUUAGUACCUAUGCACAAACUUGAAUGCAGAAACUUGCAAGUUGCCACAUAAAAGAGAUGUAAAAAUUAUAAAAAUUCCAGUUUUUUUUUGGGUAAAUUACAUUUUCAUACCUCAGGUUUGGGGUCUAUUUCAAUUCCUUACAACAUCUUCCAAACAUUUCACUUUCAUACCUUAAGUACUAUUUUAUUUCAAAAUAAUACAUCCGUUACAUUUUCCAUCCAUGGAUUUGUUAAAUGAUGACGUGGCUGCCAAAUGUCUGCCACGUGGCAAAUAAAAUAAUUUUUUUUUAAACCUGAAUUUUUUUUUUCUUCUUCUUCUUAUUCUUUUGGGUUGUAGGGAGUUCCCUUUUUUUCUUCUUCUUCUUCUUCUUCUUCUUCUAGGUUGCAGGGGGUUCCUUUUUUUUUUCUUCUUCUUCUUCUUCCUCCUCCUUCUUCUUCUUCCUCUGGGUUGUAGGGGGUUCGAGUCCCCUUGCAGGUUUUUGGGUUCUUCAGGGAUGUGGGUCGUUGGGGGGAAGAAGCCAGAGGAGGAGAAGAACAAGAAGAACAAGAAAAAGAAAAGAAAAAAAAGGAACGCCCUACAACCCAGAAGAAGAAGAAGAAGAAGAAGAAGAAGAAGAAGAAGGAGGAGGAGGAGGAGGAGGAGGAGGAAGAAGAAGAAAAAAAAGGACUGAACCCUCUGCAACCCAGAAGAAGAAGGAGGAAGAAUGAGGAAAAAGAAGAAAAAAAAAAAAGGAACCGAACCCCCUGCAACCUAGAAGAAGAAGGAGGAAGAAGAAGAAGAGAAGAAGAAUGAGGAGGAGAAGGAGGAAGAAGAAGAAGAAGAAAAAAAAAAAGGAGCACCCUGCAACCCAGAAGAAGAAGAAUGAGGAUGAGGAGGAGGAUGAGGAAGAAGAAGAAGAAGGAAAAACAAAAACAAAAGGGACCAAACCCCCUGCAACCCAGAAGAAGGAGGAAGAAGAAAAAAAAAACAAAACAAAAAGGACCGAACCCCCUGCAAUCCAGAAGAAGAAGAAGAAGGAAAAAGAAGAAGAAGAGAAGAAGGAGGAGGAGAAGGAGGAGGAAGAAGAAGAAGAAGAAGAAAAAUAUUCAGGUUUUUUUUUUUUUUUUAAAAAUUAUUUUAUUUGCCACGUGGCUAACAUUUGGCAGCCACGUGGCAUAUAUGUGGCAGCGACAUCAGCAUUUAACAGAUCAAUGGAUGAAAAUGUAACGGAUGUAUUAUUUUGAAAUAAAAUAGUACUUAAGGUAUGAAAGUGAAAUGUUUUGAAGAUGUUGUAAGGAAUUGAAAUAGGCCCCAAACCUGAAGUACGAAAAUGUAAUUUACCCUUUUUUUUUUUUUUAAGAAAUUGUUAUUCUAAUUUUUUGCAAAGAUGAUUUUUAGACUUAAAUUAUGAAUAAGAUCAAAAUCUAAUUUUAGUCCCUUGAUACAUUAAUCACCUCAUUUAUUAAUUAUAGCUUGAUGUUUUAAUUAUUUCUCUAUUUCUUUCUAAUUUUAAUGUAUUAAUUAUAUUUCAUUAUAAUUUUCAUUUUCAUUUCAUUCAUCGUAAUAUAUUUUGUUGUAAUAACUAAACUAAUUUUUGUUAUACAAUAUAUUUUGAUAUACUUUGUUUUCUUAUUUAGAUACAUUAAAUUCAUUAUAAUACAUUUCGGUGCAUCCAUUUAGGUAUACACAUUUCAGUACAAACAUGUAGAUAAAUUAAUUCAAUGUAAUACAUUUUGGUACAAACAUUUUUGUGCAUACAUUUUGGUACACACAUUUAGGUACAUUAACUCACAAUGUAGCUUUUCGGUACUAACAUGUCGGUACAUACAUUUCAGUACGAACAUUUAGGUACAUUAACUAAGUCUUUCAAGUUUAAAAAAUGUUAAAUAAAAGUAAUAAAUUUAAAAAAAAAAACUUUUUUUUGGUCAAAAAAUAAAAUUAAAUGUGUAAUCUAACACCAAAUUUUUAUUAAAUUUCAAUCUUCUUCAAGGAUUAAAAUUAAAAUUUAAAAUUUAAAAAAAAAAACCUUUUUUUUUCCUUAAAAAUUCUAGAUGAAAAUCAUAAUUUGUUUAACAGCACUAUUUUUCGUGUCCGAGUAUUAACAGCCACCGAUAAUAUACUUUGAUGCAUGCAAAGUUAGAAAGGCACUGGUUUUUUUGGUGUGUAAAGACUAAAGAAAGGUGUCCUAUAGCUACGCUGGAAUUCUUUUAGUGUUUGCCCUUACCAUUCUAUGAGUUUCUUUGUAUGACAUCGCUAGUGACGUAGUCAUAAUUUUUAAAUAAUAGGAUCAUAAUAUCAACAAAAAAACUUCAUAAGACUGCAAAGGCUUUUCAAUUCAAAUAUUUCAUACAAGAAGAGAGAAAAAAAAGACAAAUAUGAUAGAAGAAAAUAAAAGAAGUAUGAAGAGGAGAUUGUAAUUUUGUUUGCCUUAAUUACUAAUAGGGGUCAAAUACACUAUACAAACAAAUAUACAAGGAGUUUUUGAAGUUAUUGGGAUCAAGAACAACUAAUGAUCUAAUGCUGACUCUGCCACUAGACAUCGCCACUCCCGGCCCCUCCCCACCCCAUCCCUCUCCUUGCACCCCACACUCAUCCCCCUCCUUGCACCCCACACUCAUCCCCCUCCACCCGGGUCUCUCCCACCCCAUACGAACUUACGUAACAUGGUUUACGUAUGCUUGGUCAGUUUUCUAGUAAGUUAAUAUUGAAUAGACAUAAAGUUCAUUUUGCAUUAUUGUUGACCCUAAAAACUACCAAGCUUACGUGGCAUGCAGGCCGAGUAACUAAUGAGCUAACUACGUCCUUCGAUUAUGUGCGGGGCGUGCCAACUCGUCGGCCGGGGAUUAAAAUGUGUUGAUGUCGCGUUGGGCGUGCUGUUGACUUCUUGAUCUUGUGACUGCGACUAAGGAAGGAACACGUCUCGGCCUUCGGGUUCUAGAGCCUGAAGACAAGAUUGCUAGUUCUACGAAGUUCAAUAUCAAAUUCGGCUUUCAAUGUGCCAAAUGUAGUAACUUGUAACACCUCACUUCGCCGAGAAGGCUAAUGAGAUCAGUGGCGAAGCCAUGAUUUCUUGAGGGGAUGGGCGAACUCAAAAGAGUGCAAGGUUAAAGAAAAAUUGCAGCAACUAAAUCUUUUUAUAUAGUAAUGUCUUCCGUAAUUAAUCAAUACAAACAAAUUACAAUUGUUGCUGGCGAGGUUUCAUAUCAUGAAAACGUCGCAUAAUAGGCUCAUUAUCAAUAAAAGCAAAUACAUCUUUCUCAAUGUAAACAACCAUGCUAUCACUCAACCAUUGAUCUCUCAUUUUGUUACGCAAUAGUGUUUUCACAAUCUUCAUAGCAGAAAAAGCUCUCUCUACCGAAGUGGUUGCAACUAGUAACACCAAAGCCAAUGUAAGAAGCUUAUACACUAACAUAUAGCUUUCACACAUUCCGGUCUUCACUAACUCUUUAUCAAAAUCACAAUUGAAUAGAUAGCAAUAACGGCAAAAUGCGACAUCUUUUACUAUACUAUACUCCAACCACUUAAAAUUAUCAAACCAACGGGUGACAAAACAUCGAUUGUUGCUAACUUUUUUAGACAUAAUGUGAUCUUUAGGUUGACAAGGAUUAUUUUGGAGAUAGUGUCGACGAAUUGCUUCACAAUAAUUAGGAAUCAAGCAUUCGACGUCUAUGGUCCAGGGUCUAUAGGAAGAUUAGUUAGUAUUUCAUCCAACUCAGUGACCUCACUUUGUUGGGAACUACUCGGAAUACUCGAAGAAUGAAUAUUUGGAAUAUUCGAAGAAGGACUACUUAGAAUAUUCUAAGAAGGACUGGCCGGAAUAUUUGAAGGAGGAUUUAAGUAUUGUUUCUUAUAGUAUCGUUCCAUUGUUUAACUGUAUAUGGAAAAGAAAAAAAAAGUCUUAGACUCUUAAUUCUAGAGUAAGCUAUACUAUAGUUAAUAUGAGUACUAACUAAUUAAACCAACAAUUCAAUUAAUCAAUACAAAUAUUCAUAUAAAUUAUUUAAUACACAAAAAUUCAAGUAAUAAAUUAAUAUCAAUAAUCAACAAUUCAAUUUUUAUUCUAGACUAUAAUUUCAUUCAUCAAUAAUCAUUCAUAGGAUUCAUAUUUAUAUGCAAAAAUCAAUAAUCAAUAACUAUAUUAGUGUAUUACUCUAUGAUUCUAUAUUAAUUAACUAAAAUUUUGUAUUAAUUAAUCAAUUAGGGUUAGGGAUAAUAUAAAUUAGAAAGUUAAAAAAUCUACCUAAAAUUGAGAGAGAAGUGGAAAACCAACCCAACAGGUUGGCUACUAUGUUGGAGGUUGGUAGCUGACUAUGCUUGAAGGAGAAAUAAGGGACAACGGAAUGAGAUGGAGGGAGGAGGGCGUUGAAAGCCUGAAACGUGAAAGCUGCUGGGAUUUUAGGGGGGGGGGCAAAGGUCUUCUGAUUGGUUAAAAGGGGAUUGGUUUUCAAAAAGUGAAGGUCUGCUUUGAAAAAUGUAAGGCACGAGGACAAUGGUCCUCUUCAAAUAUUUUUUUUUUUUAACCAAUUAACGAAACGGCGUCGUUUGUUUAAGGAGUUUUUUUUUUCAAUACUAAAUGAAACGAUGCCGUUUCAUUUAAGGGUUUUAAAAAAAAAUUACAUAAGCUGCUGUUGUGCAGCAGCAGAAAUCAAUCUGCAGACUACAGUGCAUCCAUUCAUUCCGACGAGACCAGAAGGGCAGAACCAUGGGCUUAAUUUCCGACGAUGGGAGGGGCGACCGCCCCUCACAGUCCCUCUGUAGCUUCACCACUGAAUGAAAUGACCUCUGCCAAUAAGGAUUCGAAAAUCUUUCUCGACCGAGACUUGGAUAGAUAACCAGUUGGCCUCGACGCAGUACUGUUUAUCCAAACUGAAGGUGCUCCACCGUCGACUGAUUCUACGGCAACAGUGUUGUUUAUCCAAACUGAAGAUGUCACUGGUUGUGUUCACAGUGCUGUUUAUCCAAACUAAAGAUGUGCCGGCGAAAAGAAAAUAAAAAUCUCAAGGUUGUUGAGAGGUUUCGCAUAGAGCGAGAGUUUGCGUAGGGCAGUUUGUGUCUUGAGUUCGAGAGGUUUUACGAUGCACAAUGCCUCUAUAUUUAUAAUGCUGCUCUCGUUGAUGGCCAAGCCGUAAAUCUCUAAGUCUCCUGAUGUGUCACGGCUACUAGAAAAUAAUCUCUUAGUCUUUUGAUGUAUCACGACUACCAAAUUGAAGCAAUCCCUGAGUCUUCUUACGCCAUAAAUCUUUAAUAUUUAAAUACACCACAUCUGACCAAACACGUCUACUCCUUAUCCCAUCAUCAUGUGAUCAAUGGUCAAGAAAUUACCAUGUCACUAUCUUCUGUUAAUUUGCUUUUCCAUCAUGUCCAUAGGUUAAAGCCUAAACACAUCACAUCACCAUCUUUCACCUUUAUCCCAUGCAUGGAUUAAUUGCAUGAAAUUAAUCCAAUAUUAGCUGCAUUGCCAGAUACAAAAUAUCCCAUCAUCAUUCAAAUUGGGAUUUAGAUAAAUAUCAUGUUUAAAUAAUUUAAUAUAUUACUAAGAGAUAAUAUCAUGAUUAAAAUCACAAUAUCAUUUCUUAAUAAUAAUUAAAAACCAUUUCAACCACUUUAUUUUUCAACAGUCUAAAAUCCUGCUCAUUCAACGACCUUGAUUGCGGGGGCUGAUAGCGUAAAUUUGAUUGCUCCCUAGUUUCAUUGAGCUUCGGCUCUUAAGCCGAAUGGUUAAGGAAAUUAAGCAUUUAUGUGUGGCUCUCAACCGUUAGACAUGUUACUCAGCUACCGACUCCAUUCAAGAGAAAAAGAAAGCAAAACUGAGAAACAUGGCUUUGUUAAAAACAAGGUCAUAAAAGAAAUCACAUCGUGGCCUAUUAAAUGAUGUUGUCGGCCAUGACUAAGAAAUUCCAAACAAAUGCCAAUCUUUGCAUGCCAUACUUUUUGGCCGAGAUUUCAAUUCGACAGGAUUUGUCCUAUUGUAAACAUUGCCUCCGAAUUAUACUAUGGUCGAGCUCGACCAACAAUCCUCGGUCAUUAAGAUCAAGUCCUUUCUGAUCCAACCAAAUCCUUCUUGGCCCUCAGCCUAAGCACUAUGUCCUCUAACACGAGCUCAUGCUACAAAUGCCAUGACCGCUUAGCAAAAUCUCUGCUAGUCGAGAAAAACAUAUGGUCGAGAAAAACUACCAGGAAGAACGUUGGAUGCACACGUCUAAGGGCAUGCAACAUUGGCAACCAAACCCACUUGUCCUGAUCACUGCCAAGGUCUGCAUGGCAUUGGUCAAAUGGAGAAAGUGUACUUAUACAUAACAUUUCAUUCGGCCAACUCCAAAACCAAUCUCGCCGCAAAGGCCUACCACCUAGCACGGGUGACCUUCUGCGAACAUCUUUUCUCAGCCCGGCUAAAGAACAACUUUCCAAGCCAAGCAUACUAUCUUUUGGAUUGCUGCACCAUCUUGUUGCCCCCCUUAUUUUCUUAUGUAUCGGCCUAAAAGGCCGAAUGGUUAAGAAAAUAAUUUAUUCAUGCCUAGAUCUUUAUUCCUUGCCGAGAUCUUUCAAUACUAAUAUUGCUAAUCAGGUUUUGCACUAAGCCGAAUAAAAAAUGACCUCCAAAUAUUUUUGACUUGGUCAAAUAUUUUUCAUCGGCCGCCGAAUGUGUUGAACAAUUAUUAUGCUCCCCAUGCAUAAUUACUUCAUUAAUUUCGGCUUUUAACUCAAAUAACUUAGCCAAACAGGAUUUCUUCAUAUUGGUUGUAUCACCAAUAAUCAUAUCAAGUGGUGUAGUUUCUGCGUCUAAGACCAUGUCUCCAACUACCACAUCAAUUGAAGUGGUUUUAUGGUUUGAAGCCGUGUAUCGGUCUUGUUCGUCAUUGGAACACUCCUCUGACAAGUCAUUUUCUGAGUCGAAUUUUGGCUCAAAAACUUGAAUUCUUUCUUCUAGGCUUACUACCACACUUUUAGUCUCGACCGAGACAACAGGUGGCCUAGGUGUUUCUUCGGCCAAAUGAACAAUUUUUUUAGGCCAAAGUCUGAUUGUGGCCGAGGUGGAAAAUUGCCCCUCAGCCUUUAGACUUAACCAUUUUUCAAAUGGAAUUGAUCUAUAGUAAAAAACAUAAGGAAAACGUUCUUCAUUUAGCCAGGCUUUAAAUCAAGCCUUGUCUUCGUUUACCCAUUGCUCUUGUAGGGUAACAUGAGCUUUUAUUCUCAACAUGUGGGCGAAUGAUUUUUGCCAUGCAUGGAUUAAUUGCAUCCUAAUCACAUCACUAUCCUAAUCACAUCACUAUCUUUCACAUUUAUCCCAUGCAUGGAUUAAUUGCAUGAAAUUAAUCCAGUAUUAGCUGCACUGCCAGAUACAAAAUAUCCCAUCAUCAUUCAAAUUGGGAUUUAGAUAAAUAUCAGGUUUAAAUAAUUUCAUAUAUUACUAUGAGAUAAUAUCAUGAUUAAAAUCACAAUAUCAUUUCUUAAUAAUAAUUAAAAACCAUUUCAACCACUUUAUUUUUCAACGGUCUAAAAUCAUGCUCAUUCAACGACCUUGAUUGCGGGGGCUGAUAGCAUAAAUUUGAGUCUAAACAAUUAUCCAACUAAGCAUAUGCGCAUGCUCACAACUAUAAAAGUAAAGGAGGUCAUUGAUAUGUUGAUCAGCAAAGAUUCAAAGCACACAGAAAAUAUAUAGAUCCGAUUUAACAUAAGUGAGAGACAAUGUCGAAUAAAGAAGCAAAAAAUGAAAGGACAGAUCCUGUAAAGGAUGACAAGAAAUCUGAAAAGGCUGGCGCUAACGCUGGCGCUGGCGAUGGUGGCGGCGGCGGUGGUGGCGGUGGUGGAGGUGGCGGUGGCGGUGGAGGUGCCGAUGGAUAUACCGGUGCCGGUGGAUAUGCCGGUGAAGGUGGAUAUGGCGGUGCAGGUGCAGGUACCGGUACCAGUGCCGGCGCCAGUGCCGGUGCCCGUGCCGGUGGACAUCCUGCUCGAAAUGACAGUGCCAACAAAUAAGCCAGCUGAGGGAUUCAACGACGUUGGCAACUACUACUGAAUAGGCCCUUAAGAGCCGAUCCUAAAUAAGAGGGAUUUAACCUCGUUGCAUGCAUGAUCGUAAUUAAACAUAUUGCCUAAAAUAAGAGUUGAUCCAAAAUCCAAGGUUUAUAGCAAGACCUCUAAAUUUGUGUAAUAUCGUUACUAUAAUAAAUUAAGAGUGCUAUUAUUUUCACUCCAAUGUCUUAUCUCUAUACUUACUUCUUAGUUAAAAUUUUAAUUACAAGUUUGUCUAUUUAUAAAAUGAUUGAUAAAGACUUUAAAGAUAAUAUACAUAGUUCUUUAAGAGGAGAGAUCCCAUUUGAGCCAUAGAUCAGACCUCGCAAUGAACUCGUUAUUCGCUAAUACGAAAAUCAAAUGCCAGGAGAAAGAGGAAGAAACUUGCUAGCUCUUUCCUCCCCUCUGGCAGCUGUGGUUUUGCUUGACAUGAUUUAUAUUUGUGGAUAAAGCAGAGCUUCUUUUGAAGUAUAUGGUCGUGGUGAUGCCCUUCCCAAUCACGUACUAUGAGUACUGUAGGAGGGGCAAUUUGCUAGAAGCUAUCAAGCUGUGGGAUGUUAUGCUAGUUAGGGGUCUGAAACCUGAUAUUUUAGCAUACAGCUUUUUAUACAUGGUUGUUGUGUGACUGGAGAACUAACUGUUGGAAAAUUAGUUAUUAGUUUAUGCACCUAGUCUGCAUACCGCACCACCAUCUGCUCGCACCCAUAUCCGUUAUACCAUCACUGCAAUCUGACCUGUUGUUGAACGAAUCCGUAAACGACGCUGCACCACCUGCAUCGCUCCGCUCUGGUCUGCAGCUCCCCGGCCGCACUGGAUUUGGUGAAACCACUUACACUGACUCUGCUUCUACACCUUUGAACGCUGCAACCUGCAGGAGCAUCCCACAAAUCUGUAUGGCUGCAAAGGAAAAAAGAGGAAAAAGGAGAAUGGAAUAAAAAGAAUGAAAAAAGGGGAGUAAAAAAAGGAAGAAACAAGAAAAAGAAAAAGAAAAAAUUGGUUGAUUGUUUGAGGCUUAGGCCCACAGGCAAGAAAGAAAUAUGAUUUGUUUGGUUUGUCUAUCGUUCUCACCGCGACGAUCGCUCGAGUGCUUGGACUGGUGAUCACUCAAGUGAAGUUAUGAAAGUUAGAUUUUUUGUUUUUGUUCAAGUUUGUUCGGAAGUUGGAAUUUGCAUUGGCAUUGGCAUCGGUAUUCGGCAUCGGCAUCGGCAUCGGCAUCGGUAUUGGCAUUAGCAUCGGCAUUGAUAUUGACAUUGGCACUGACAUUGGCAUUGGAAUUGGCAUUGGCUCUAGCACUAGAAUUUGGAGUCUUGCAUUCGCAUCUACUUGUUGGCAAACUCAUGAUGUGUACCGCCAUGAGUUUGACAGGGGGUGUUGGAAAAUUAGUUAUUAGUUUAUUUUUGUUUAUGGUUUUCUUGUGGGACAAGGAUAUUAGAAUUUUCUAUAUCCUUUAAGGGUUAGGAUUUAGGGUUUAUUAGAGUUUUCUAUAUCCUUUAAGGAUUAGGAUUUUGCUUUAGUUUUCACUAUAUAUAAUAGAGCUUGUAAUUUAGUUUGAGAAUAAGUUAGUCGCAAUGUAGUCUUUUAGGGUUUUGUAGCCGUUUUUGCAUUCUCAGUUUGUUUAAUAAUAUUCUUAUUAUUUUGUUAAUCUUGUUCGUUGCGCUCUGAUAUUCAACUCUAACCAAGGCUUUCGAGUUGCGUGAUGACAUGAUGAGUAGAGGAUUGAAGCCAAAUCGAGUUACAUAUAAAACACUCAUCCGUGGGACUUGCCUGACAAGUUAGGUUCUGUCCAUCAGCUGCAACUUAUGCAGGAAGAGUCGUUCUUUUGUUGUAUACGGAUUACGGAACCAGGCAUGCUUUCAAUACAUCGCGGAGCCAUGAUGAUUGAUGGUUCAACAUUCACAUUUUGUUUUUAGAUUAGAUACACACACAUCUAACUUGACAACAUGACCAGUUAUUCGUUUUAUGUACACUUUUUCCACCCUAUAUGCUGAUUUAUUAAGAAGGGAUGGUGGGAAUCCUUUAACUGAUUGUGUUCAGCAACGCGAACUAAGCCUGUGGGGAUGUAGGUUAUUGUUGUCAUGUUUUACAUACAUUUAAUCUCUAACAAGAUUUACCUGGAUUUUUGUUCUGGAUCCCUUCCACCUAAGACAUUGAGCACGGCCCUUGAAAUUUGAUUCAACAACUAAAAACAGGAGGUCCCAUUAAAAGUUAUAAUAACUUUAGCCGUUAAAUCAAAUUUCAAGUGUCCGGAUUUUUUGCUCAGUUGGCUUAGGUGGAAGGGAUCCGGAGAAGAUCCAUUUCCUUUAGUUGCAUCUCUUUGAUUUGGCCACACUCCAUGUUUGUGUCACGUAUAUGAUCUCCGUGUUGGAUAAAUAUCAACAAUCAAUGAUAAAUUUAUAUAUGCUAAUAAAUAAUAAAUGCGAAUAGAUAAAUUAACAGAGUAUGAACAAAACAAAAAUAUUAAAUAGACAACUUGAAGAUCGAGGCUUGCGUACCACAAUGUCCUUGAAACAGAAAUUUCGUCCCUACUCAGUGCUUGUAGUUCUACGGACGUCGACUUCACCAUGAUUCAACGAUCUAAGUCAGAAUUCCAGCACCGAAAAACUUGACUUCUAGCGAAUUUCUUUGUGGUUCUCUCAGUAAGGAUGUUUGGGAUUGUAGAAGAAGAAUUUGAUUUUUCUGUGUUUAAAAUGUCAUGUAGAUGGAUGUAUUUAUUGUAAGUUUAUACAAGUUCGCAACAGGUAUGAGAUUGGGUGCGUCUUUUGGAAGACAUCUUUCCCAAAUUCGUGCUUUGCUCUGCGUUCUUUCAUCACUUCAGACUUUAUCUGAAAAGAUGAGUCUGGUAAUAAAAAAAAUAAAAUUAAUUAAAGAAUUUAACUUUUAGAGCCCCAAGGCUCAAGGCUCAUCUUUCGAUUAUAUAUAUUAAUUAGUACACUCCAAAGCCCAACUCUAAAGUUGAGCCCAAUUUCAUUCUCCAUGGUCCAUCAUUUCAAUCACUAUCUAUAAGGAAUAAAGCCUUCUAAUGUGAGGGAACCUUUUGGUAGUGACCAAUAUGGGACAAUAAAAUUUCUACUCAAAAUUUUCAACACUCCGAUAUGCCAGAUGCUGCUUUUUCUAGAAAUUUGGUUGGUUAGCUAGUUAAGAGAAGGUGAACUGAGCCUCUAAGUUGCACUUGCACAUAUUUUUCCUUAUGUCCUGCAACUUUAUAAUAUUUUUUUUCCGGUACAACGGCGGAGAGCCUAACAACUACCCGGGAAUGGCCCUGGACUUUGCCAAACGAACAAUACUUGGUUACUAAAAGAUGAGUGUGAACUCCUACUCAAAAUUCUUAGUGUUUGAAUCACGGAGCUUUGUGUUUAUGAUUAGAAUCGUUCAUACUAUGAAUCACAUUGUAAAGAUUAUCUCCGCAAAAAUUAAAUUAAAACUAAAGCCGUUUAGUCAAUCUAUUGGAGUAAAUAUAUAGACAGUUCAUAAUACUUUUACCACUACCGUUCAUUUGUUUUUAAAUAGUUUGAUGACUAAACGACCUUAGUUUUAAUUGAUUGUUUGCAAAUGCGAUAUUUAUAUGGUGAUUUAUAAUAUGAACAGUUCUGAUUAUAAAUACAAAGUUCUAUAAAUUGACAACAAACUAUUUUGAAAAUUUUUGAGUAGGAGUUCCUACUCAUCUUUAACAAAGUAUUAUUCUUGCCAAACUCAAGGUAUCAGAAGCCACCAGCGAGUUUAUAAUCUAAUCGACAAUAUAUGAGCUCAACAUGCAGGUGGAUCUCUCAAUAAACAGUGAAGGAGUUACACAAUGCGCUCAUGCAACACUAGGUUUUUGGAAAAAAAAACGGGCGGCUAUCCGCUCAGAGAGCAAAAAAUUUCAGUUGUGACGGAAAUACGGAUGUACACCACGUGUUUUUAUGCAAGGGGAGGAAAAUUUUAAUUUUUAAGUUAUUAACCUUUUAACACACAUAACCUACCAUUUAUAUUGAGACACGUAGUGUACUACUUUGUGUGACGGGAACACUGAAAAAUCUCUCCUCAGAGAGAGUCAUACCUAUUAAUCCAGUGUCUGAAUAGCUAGAACCAAAAUGGUGUAAUACAGGCACACAAAAAAACGAAAAACAAACUCAUUUCCGAACCAAAACUAACAGCAUAACAGCUCUUUUUCUACAUGGUUAAAAAGAGUAAGACGCGUUUGAGGUUUAACAGUACAAACCCAGUUUUUCUUCCUUCAGGAGAUGACACGACUUAGCUUCUAGAUGUAACCAUAAGGACAUACACUGCAUAAGUUCCUUCACCUCGUCUAAAACCGAGAUCGCAGGACUCGUUCAAAAUGAAGAGAGACUGAAAGGUAAAUUCAAACCGAGAAUUAUAAUCUAGUCAAAGUUCACAACCCCACAAACUAUGAACAUAUCACAUAAAAGUAAAGCAGAGCAUGAGAAAAACGGACAUAACAAGACCAAGCUUCUUAGUUUGCACGACUUUUGAUAACAUCGAGACCUAUCUCAGUCGGAUCAGUAGCCUGCAGCUCGACUUGUAUGCCGUCCAAUUCUCUCUUGAACCUGUCCUUGGAGCUUGCAUAAAGAACAUAAGCAAAAAUGACGAGAAAAAGAGAGACGCGUUUUUAGGUUAGAAAAGUACCAUCCGACGAAGAAAAUCCUGCUUUUCUGACAGUUCUCUACAGUCACAAAGUCAAAAUCAUAGACAGCAUAUCUGCAUUCAUUAUCAGGAAGGUUUGCAGUAAAGUCUUCAUAGCUUUCAGCUGGCUCACCGAGCUUCUCCACAAUCACCUCAUUUUUCUUCUCGUCAAUCUUGAACACUAUGAAGCGAUAUGUUCUCUUAGCCUUCAAUUCCAGGAACUUCAGCUUGCAGUCAUCAUUCACAGCAAAUCCGGACGCUGCAUCAGCCUGAUCAUAUGAUGAAACAGAAGAUAGAUGUUAUUCUUAUGCAACUUAUUUCCACAAACCCAACACACACUGGUUUUGAAACAAUAAACAUGUAUUCACUCUCCUACUCAGCCAAAAAAAUUAAGCUCAGAAAUUCUCAAGAAAACAAUUAAUCUACAAUGUUGUGCCAAAGUUAUCAAACAACGGAAUCAGAUAUUAAAAUGCCACGGUGCCUCUCCUUGAAUGUAAGGGCCCGUUUAAUAACCAAUUUUAAUUCUAUAGAUAGAGAAGUAUGCGGGAGAAAGGAGGAGCAAGGGUGAACAAGGGAUGGUGGAACAAAUGUGAAGGGAUGUGUAUGUAAUGGCACACAAUGGAAACUGAAAACAAUUUUGAAGUUGUUUUCGCUUUCUAGUUUUGUUUUCAUAUAAUCUCCUUCAUUUCUCCCCCUCCCAUCACCCCUCCCACCACCUCCCUUCAUCCUUUACAUUCCUCAUUUCUCCCGUAUACUCUCCCUCUACUUUAGCACAAAAAAUGAAGGCCUGCUGAUUGGUUAAAAGGGAUACCAUUCAUCAAAUUCAAUGCAGAUUUGCUUGUUGAAGUUGCUUGUUGCGUGUUGGUAAAUUUUGUGUUGCGAUACCAUUCAUCAAAUUCAAUGCAGAGUUGGUUUUCUUAGGGCACUACCCUUGUGACUACUGACGAGGUGGUAACGGCGGUGGCGGCAGCUGCAUUUUGCCUUUGCGGGAUAGAGAUUAGAAUUUUUAUUUUUGUUGUUUUAUCUUUUGUUGAAUGGGUUUUUGUCUACCCCAAUUUUUAAACAAGGGUCUUCUGAUUGGUUAAAAAGGGAUUGGUUUUCAAAAAGUGAAGGUCUGCUUUGAAAAAUGGAAGGCACGGGGACAGUGGUCCCCUUUAAAUUUUUCUAUUUUUUUUAACCAAUUAAUGAAACAGCGUCGUUUGUUUGAGGAGGUUUUUUUUUUUUUUUUUUCAAUACUAAAUGAAACGAUGCUGUUUCAUUUAAGGGAUUUAAAAAAAAAAAAAAAGUACAUAAGCUGCUACUGUGCAGCAGCAGAAACCGAUCUGUAGACUACAGUGCAACCAUUCAUUCCAACAAGACCAGAGGGGCGGAACCACAUUCAUGGGCUUAAUUUCCGAUGAUGGGAGGGGCGGCCGCCCCUCACAGUCCCUCUGUAGCUUCGCCACUGAAUGAGAUGACCUCUGUCAAUAAGAAUUCGAAAAUCCUUCUCGACCAGACUUGGAUAGAUAACCAGUUGGUCUCGACGCAGUACUGUUUAUCCAAACUGAAGGUGCUCCGCCGUCGACUGAUUCUACGGCAAUAGUGCUGUUUAUCCAAACUAAAGAUGUCACUGGUUGCCUUCACAGUGUUGUUUAUCCAAACUAAAGUUGUGUCGGCGAAAAUAAAAUAAAAAUCUCAAGGUUGUUGAGAGGUUUCGCAUAGAGCGAGAGUUUGCGUAGGGCAGAGUGUUGAGUUCGAGAGGUUUUACGAUGCACAGUGCCCCUGUAUUUAUAAUGCUGCUCUCACUGAUGGCCAAGCCAUAAAUCUCUGAGUCUCCUGAUGUGUCACGGCUACUAGAAAAUAAUCUCUUAGUCUUUUGAUGUAUCACGACUACCAAAUUGAAGCAAUCCCUCAGUCUCCUUACGAAUCUUUAAUAUUUAAAUACACCACAUCUGACCAAACACGUCUACUCCUUAUCCCAUCAUCAUGUGAUUAAUGGUCAAGAAAUUACCAUGUCACUAUCUUCUGUUAAUUUGCUUUUCCAUCAUGUCCAUAGGCUAAAGCCUAAACACAUCACAUCACCAUCUUUCACCUUUAACCCAUGCAUGGAUUAAUUGCAUGAAAUUAAUCCAGUAUUAGCUGCAUUGCCAGAUACAUAAUAUCCCAUCAUCAUUCAAAUUGGGAUUUAGAUAAAUAUCAGGUUUAAAUAAUUUAAUAUAUUACUAAGAGAUAAUAUCAUGAUUAAAAUCACAAUAUCAUUUCUUAAUAAUAAUUAAAAACCAUUUCAACCACUUUAUCUUUCAACGGUCUAAAAUCCUGCUCAUUCAACGGUCUUGAUUGUGGGGGCUGAUAGCGUAAAUUUGAGUCUAAACAUUGCUCCCUAGUUUCCUUGAGCUUCGGCUCUUAAGCCGAAUGGUUAAGGAAAUGAAUCAUUUAUGCAUGGCUCUCAACCGUUAGACAUGUUACUCGGCUACCGACUCCAUUCAAGAGAAAAAGAAAGUAAAACUGAGAAACAUGGCUUUGUUAAAACCAAGGUCAUAAAAGAAAUCACAUCGUGGCCUAUUAAAUGAUGUUGUCGGCCAUGACUAAGAAAUUCCAAACAAAUGCCAAUCUUUGCAUGCCAUACUUUUUGGCCGAGAUUUCAAUUCGACAGAUUUGUCCUAUUGUAAACAUUGCCUCCGAAUUAUACUAUGGUCGAGCUCAACCAACAAUCCUCGAUCGUUAAGAUCAAGUCAUUUAUGAUCCAACCAAAUCCUUCUUGGCCCUCGGCCUAAGCACUAUGUCCUCUAACACGAGCUCAUGCUACAAAUGCCAUGACUGCGUAGCAAAAUCUCUGCUAGUCGAGAAAAACAUAUGGUCGAGAAAAACUACCAGGAAGAACGUUGCAUGCACGCGUAUAAGGGCCUACAACAUUGGCAACCAAACCUACUUGUCCUGAUCACUGUCAAGGUCUACAUGGCAUUGGUCAAAUGGAGAAAGUGUACUUAUGUGUAACAUUUCAUUCGGCCAACUCCAAAACCAAUCGUCGCGAAGGCCUACCACCUAGCACGGGUGACCUUCUGCGAACAUCUUUUCUUGGCCAGGCUAAAGAACAACUUUCCAAGCUGAGCACACCAUCUUUUGGAUUGUCGCACCAUCUUGUUGCUCCCCUUAUGUUCUUAUGCAUCGGCCUAAAAGGCCAAAUGGUUAAGAAAAUAAUUUAUUCAUGCCUAGAUCUUUAUUCCUUGCCGAGAUCUUUCAAUACUAAUAUUGCUAAUCAGGUUUUGCACUAAGUCGAAUAAAAAAUGACCUCCAAAUAUUUUUGACCUUGUGAAAUAUUUUUCAUCAGCUGCCGAAUGUGUUGAACAAUUAUUAUGCCCCCCAUGCAUAAUUACUUCAUUAAUUUCGGCUUUUAACUCAAAUAACUUAGCCAAACGGGAUUUCUCCAUAUUGGCUGUAUCACCAAUAAUCAUAUCAAGUGGUGUAGUUUAUGCGUUUACGACCAUGUCUCCAACUACCAUAUCAAUUGAUGUGGUUUUAUGGUUUGAAGCCGUGUAUUGGUCUUGUUCGUCAUUGGAACACUCCUCUGACAAGUCAUUUUCUGAGUCGAAUUUUGACUCAGAAACUUGAACUCUUUCUUCUAGGCUUACUACCACACUUUCAGUCUCGACCGAGACAACAGGUGGCCUAGGUGUUUCUUCGGCCAAAUGAACAAUUUUUUUAGGCCAAAGUCUGAUUGUGGCCGAAGCGGAAAAUUGCUCCUCAGCCUUUAGACUUAAUCAUUUUUCAAAUGGAAUUGAUCUGUAGUAAAAAAAAUGUAAGGAAAACGUUCUUCAUCUAGCCAGGCAUUAAAUCGAGCCCUGUCUUCGUUUACCCAUUGCUCUUGUAGGGUAACAGGAGCUUUUAUUCUCAACAUGUUGGCAAAUGAUUUUUGCCAUGCAUGGAUUAAUUGCAUCCUAAUCACAUCACCAUCCUAAUCACAUCACCAUCUUUCACAUUUAUCCCAUGCAUGGAUUAAUUGCAUGAAAUUAAUCCAGUAUUAGCUGCAUUGCUAGAUACAAAAUAUCCCAUCAUCAUUCAAAUUGGGAUUUAGAUAAAUAUCAGGUAUAAAUAAUUUAAUAUAUUACUAAGAGAUAAUAUCAUGAUUAAAAUCACAAUAUCAUUUCUUAAUAAUAAUUAAAAACCAUUUGUACCACUUUAUUUUUCAACGGUCUAAAAUCAUGCUCAUUCAACGGCCUUGAUUGCGGGGGCUAAUAGCAUAAAUCUGAGUCUAAACAAUUAUCCAACUAAGCAUAUGCGCAUGCUCACAACUAUAAAAAGAAAGGAGGUCAUUGAUAUGUUGAUCAGCAAAGAUUCAAAGCACACAGAAAAUAUAUAGAUCCGAUUUAACAUAAGUGAGAGACAAUGUCGAAUAAAGAAGCGAAAAAUGAGAGGACAGAUCCUGUAAAGGAUGACAAGAAACCUGCAAAGGAUGACAAGAAACCUGUAAAGGAUGACAAGAAACCUGAAAAGGCUGGCGCUAGCGAUGGCACUGGCGGUGGUGGUGGCGGUGGUGGCGGUGGUGGUGGAGGUGGCGGUGGCGGUGGAGGUAGCAGUGCAGGUGCCGAUGGAUAUACCGGUGCUGGUGGAUAUGCCGGUGCCGGUGGAUAUGGCGGUGCAGGUGCCGGUGCCAGUGCCGGUGCCAGUACCGGUGCUCGUGCCAGUGGACAUCCUGCUCGAAAUGACAGUGCCAACAAAUAAAUAAGCCAGCUGAGGGAUUCAACGACGUUGGCAACUACUACUGAAUAGGCCCUUAAGAGCCGAUCCUAAAUAAGAGGGAUUUAACCUCGUUGCAUGCAUGAUUGUAAUUAAACAUAUUGCCUAAAAUAAGAGCCCAUCCAAAAUCCGAGGUUUAUAGCAAGACCUCUAAAUUUGUGUGUAAUAUCGUUACUAUAAUAAAUUGCUGUUAUUUUCACUCCAAUAUCUUAUCUCUAUACUUACUUAGUUAAAAUUUUAAUUACAAGUUUGUCUAUUUAUAAAAUGAUUGAUAAAGACUUUAAAGAUAAUAUACAUGGUUCUUUAAGAGGAGAGAUCCCAUUUUAGCCAUAUAUCAGACCUCGCAAUGAACUCGUUAUUCGCUAAUACGAAAAUCAAAUGCCAGGAGAAAGAGGAAGAAACUUGCUAGCUCUUUCCUCCCCUCUGGCAGCUGUGGUUUUGCUUGACAUGAUUUAUAUUUGUGGAUAAAGCAGAGCUUCUUUUGAAGUAUAUGGUCGUGGUGAUGCCCUUCCCAAUCACGUACUAUGAGUACUGUAGGAGGGGCAAUUUGCUAGAAGCUAUCAAGCUGUGGGAUGUUAUGCUAGUUAGGGGUCUGAAACCUGAUAUUUUAGCAUACAGCUUUUUAUAUAUGGUUGUUGUGUGACUGGAGAACUAACCAAGGCUUUCGAGUUGCGUGAUGACAUGAUGAGUAGAGGAUUGAAGCCAAAUCGAGUUACAUAUAACACACUCAUCCGUGGGACUUGCCUGACAAGUUAGGUUCUGUCCAUCAGCUGCAACUUAUGCAGGAAGAGUCGUUCUUUUGUUGUAUACGGAUUACGGAACCAGGCAUGCUUUCAAUACAUCGCGGAGCCAUGAUGAUUGAUGGUUCAACAUUCACAUUUUGUUUUUAGAUUAGAUACACACACAUCUAACUUGACAACAUGACCAGUUAUUCGUUUUAUGUACACUUUUUCCACCCUAUAUGCUGAUUUAUUAAGAAGGGAUGGUGGGAAUCCUUUAACUGAUUGUGUUCAGCAACGCGAACUAAGCCUGUAAAAACGUGUCUUCUCUUGGGGAUGUAAGUUAUUGUUGUCAUGUUUUACAUACAUUUAAUGUCUAACAAGAUUUACCUGGAAUUUAGUUGGGUAAAGGGAUCCUCUGAAUCCCUUCCACCUGAGACACUGAGCACGAAAUCCGGGCUCGAAAUUUGAUCCAACGUCCUAAAACAGAAGGUCCCAUUAAAAGUUAUAAUAAAUUUAGCCGUUAAAUCAAAUUUUAAGAGUCCGGUUUUUUUGCUCAGUUGGCUUAGGUGGAAGGGAUACGGAAAGGAUCCCUUUCCUUUAGUUGCAUCUCUUUGAUUUGGCCACACUCGAUGUUUGUGUCAUGUAUAUGAUCUCCGUGUUGGAUAAAUAUCAACAAUCAAUAAUAAAUUAUAUAUGCUAAUAAAUAAUAAAUGCGAAUAGAUAAAUUAACAGAGUAUGAACAAAACAAAAAUAUUAAACAGACAACUUGAAGAUCGAGGCUUGCGUACCACAAUGUCCUUGAAAAAAAAAUUUCGUCCCUUCUCAGUGCUUGUAGUUCUACAGACGUCGACUUCACCAGGAUUCAACGAUCUAAGUCAAAAUUCCAGCACCGGAAAACUUGACUUCUGGCGAAUUUCUUUGUGGUUCUCUCAGUAAGGAUGUUUGGGAUUGUAGAAGAAGAAUUUGAUUUUUUUUGUGUUCAAAAUGUCAUGCAGAUGAAUGUAUAUAUAGUAGGUUUAUACAUGUUCGCAAUAGGUAUGAGAAUGGGGUGCGUCUGUUGGAAGAUAUCUUUCCCAAAUGUGUGCUUUGCUCAGCAUUCUUUCAUCACUUUCAAAUGAAGUUUGUUGAUAAAAAAAAUUAAUUAAUUAAAGAAUUUAAUUUUUAGAGCCCCAAGGCUCAAGACCCAUCUUUUGAUUAUAUAUAUUAAUUAGUACACCACAAAGUCUAACUCCAAGGUUGAUCCCAAUUUCAUUAUCCAUGGUUCAUCACUUCAAUCACUAUCUAUAAAGAACAAAGCCUUAUAAAGUGAGAGAACCUUUUGGUAGUGACCAAUGUGGGACAAUGAAAUUUCUUCUCAAAAUUUCCAACACUCCGAUCUGCCAGACGCUGCUUUUUCUAGAAAUUUGGUUGGUUAGCUAGUUAAGAGAAGGUGAACUGAGACUCUAAGUUGCACUUGCACAUAUUUUUCCUUAUGUCCCGCAACUUUAAAAUAUUUAUUUUCCGGUACAACGGCGGAGAGGCUAACAACAGGAACAAACAACUACCCGGGAAUGGCCCUGGUCUUUGCCAAACGCACAAUUUACUGAAAGAUGAGUAUGAACUCCUACUCAAAAUUCUUAGUGUUUAAUCGCGAAGCUUUGUGUUUAUGAUCAGAAUCGUUGAUACUAUGAAUCACAUUGUAAAGAUUAUCUCUGCAAAUAUUAAAUUAAAAAUAAGACCGUUUAGUCAAUGUAUUGUAGCAGAUACAUAAACGGUUCAUAAUACUUUUACCACUACCGUUCAUUUGUUUUUAAAUAGUUUGAUGACCAAAUGACCUUAGUUUUAAUUGAUUUUUUGCAAAUGCGAUCUUUAUAUGAUGAUUUAUAAUAUGAACAGUUCUAAUUAUAAACACGAAGUUCCAUAAAUUGACAACAAACAAUUUUGAAAAAUUUUGAGUAGGAGUCCCUAGUCAACUUUAACAAAGUAUUGUUCUUGCCAAACUCAAGGUAUCAAAGCCACCACCACAACAACAACAACAACAACAAAGCAUUUUCCCACUAAGUGGGGUCGGCUAUAUGAAUCCUAGAAUGUCAUUGCGCUCGGUUUUGUGUCAUGUCCUCCGUUAGAUCCAAGUACUCAAGUCUUUUCUUAGGGUCUCUUCCAAAGUUUUCCUAGGUCUUCCUCUACCCCUUCGGCCCUGAACCUCUGUCCCGUAGUCACAUUUUCGAACCGGAGCGUCAGUAGGCCUUCUUUGCACAUGUCCAAACCACCGGAACCGAUUUUCUCUCAUAUUUCCUUCAAUUUUGGCUACUCCUACUUUACCUCGGAUAUCUCAUUCCCAAUCUUAUCUUUCUUUAUCGUGUGCCCAUACAUCCCACGAACGAAGCAUCCUCAUCUCCGCUACACCCAUUUUGUGUACGUGUUGAUGCUUCACCGCCCAACAUUAUGUGCCAUACAACAUCGCUGGCCUUAUUGCCGUCCUAUAAAAUUUUCCCUUGAACUUCAGUGGCCUACGAUGGUCACACAACACGCCGGAUGCACUCUUACACUUCAUCCAUCCAGCUUGUAUUCUAUGGUUGAGAUCUCCAUCUAAUUCUCGUUCGUUCUCUUGCAAGAUAGAUCCUAGGUAGCGAAAACGGUCACUUUUUGUGAUCUUCGCUAGAUUGCUCCGGUCAUUAGUGUGGAUAAGUAUAUAAAUAGAGAUAGAGGAAAGCAAACACAAGAUGUACGUGGUUCACCCAGAUUGGCUACGUCCACGGAAUAGAGAAGAGUUCUCAUUAAUUGUGAAGGGGAGUACAUAGGUUCAAGCUCUCCUUUAGUGAGUACAAGUGAAUGAUUUAGUACAAAUGACAUUAGAAAAUAUUGUGGGAUAAUGAUCUCGUAACCACGAAACUUCUAAGUACCGGAGUGUGGUAUCGUCUUGACUUGCCUUAUCUGUCUCAUAGGUAGAUGUGGCAUCUUCUCUGGAAGUACUCUUCCUCCAUCCAGGGGUGGUAUCUGUAACUGGUGGAGAUGCACAAGGUAAUGUAUCAAUUUCACUUGAAGCUUACUUGUAGUUUCAGGCUUGGUCAAGCGCGAUACAAACCAUGUAGUAGGAGUCCCCCAAGUCGCCGGGCUAGGGGAUCUGCUGAAAGAGGUGAUAGACAAGGUAAGCAAUCAGAGCUCCGGCUGAUUGUUCACAUUCUCCCUAUCUUGCAGGCAGCAUGAAGGAUAAAGAGAAGAAAAAUGAGAAGAGAUGAUAUGGGAUACUUUUGCUUUUGAAGAAGUAACUUUCCACAGGCUUAUUCUUGAACCGGGCUGGGAGGGUUUUCUGGUUUCCUCCAGAGUAAAAGGCCGACUGAAGAAUUUGAGGGUCAAAACAAGUCCAUCAAAUCUAGAGUACGUUUGACCCUGCUGAUAUGGGAUACUUUUUCUUUUGACAGAGUAGUGGAUGUAUCGGCACGUGUGCUGUUACGCUUGUCUCCACAUGCUUCCUUGUAUCCUUCUCACUUGCCCUAUCUGUUCCUCAAGGCAGAUGCGGGUAUCUUCCCUGGAAGCAUAAGAUGUUGAAGAUGAGUACUCGAGAGCAAUGCCAGGUAAGUAAUCAGGUAAGGGGUUCCAGGCAGUCAGUUCCUGGCUGGAAGCUUGAUUCCAAGUGCUGACUGAUUGCUCUCUUUCUCCUUGUCUUGCAGGUUAAGCUGACAGGGAAAAAGCAUGAUAUGGGAUAUACUCUUGCUUUUAACCCUGAUGAUAUGAGAUAUUCUUUGCUCUAGUAUAGCUUGUUUACAGAGGUAUUAUCGGGGGGAAAGAAAGCUGAAUAUUUCGAAAGGCUUCGUUGGGAGUGCCCUCUCAGAUAAGAGAAAGGGUUGAGCAUUUUUGCAGGUCUGCCUGUCCGUUAGGGAUGGAGGUCGACAUAUAUAGGAGUCUCCCUAACAUCAAGUAAUAAUGUUAUUCCUUUACCCUACUUGGUCAUAGCACGGUAGUGGGAGCUGCCAGCUUUACAUGUUUUAACUCUGUCAGAGCACUUUGAAAAAGUGGUCUGUGGUAUCUGGAAAGCUGAUGUUGCGUGUGAAGAUUACAGACAAGCUUUUAUCCAAGGAGAUCCAGCUCUUGAAGUUGGGAAAGUGGUGCCUCUUCGGUUUUCGAACAAGCAAUCAUGUCGGGGAUCUGGCUCUCGAGAUUCGGAGAACGAUGCCUCUUCGAUUUUUGAGAAAACAAUCUUGCUGGGGGUCUGGCUCUCGAGAUUCGGAGAGCAGUGUCUCUUCGAUUUUUGAGAAAGUAAUCAUGUUGGGAGUCUGGCUCUCGAGAUUCGGAGGGCGGUGCCUCUUCGAUUUUGGAGCAAGCAAUCUUGUUGGGAGUGUUUUCUCGAAUGUGAGUAAAGGUUGGGCAUGUUUGCUAGUCUACCUUGCCACGAAGCACAGAGGUUGACACACAGGGACUUUCCAAUUAUCCAGCAAGUGGUACUGUUCCUUUACCCUCUCUUCGAUUUUUGAGAAAGUAAGUCAUGUUGGGAGUCUGGCUCUCGAGAUUCGGAGGGACGGUGCCUCUUCGAUUUUGGAGCAAGCAAUCUUGUUGGGAGUGUUUUCUCGAAUGUGAGUAAAGGUUGGGCAUGUUUGCUAGUCUACCUUGCCACGAAGCACAGAGGUUGACACACAGGGACUUUCCAAUUAUCCAGCAGUGGUACUGUUCCUUUACCCUUGUGGGUAAUAAUAUGGUAGCUAGACCUUCAAAAUUUAUGUGUCUAAACUUUGUUAGUGCUGUUUCUUUGCUAUUCUUUUACCCUUCUUGGUCAGAGCGAUGUAGUGCGGAGCUGCAAGCUUCACGUGUCUCAACUUUGGCAGAGAACUUUGGCAAAGUUAUCUGUGUGGUACCCAUGAGUUAUUGUUGCGUGUGGGAAGUGGGUGAUUGAACAGUACGAUUCAUGUGCUUUCUACUUCGCCAGAAAUCUUCGACAGAAUGCCCAUAAUUUCCGCAAAGCUGAGUGUGCGUGUGACAGGUGCUGACAAGGCUGGAAAAGUAGGUGCCUCUUCGAUUUCUGAGAUCGGCCCUCGUGGUUUCUUAGCAGCCCAGCUUUUGAGAAAGCAAGCCUCUUCGAUUUCUGAGAUCGGCCUUCGUGGUCUUUGAGCAGCCCAGCUUUUGAGAAAGCAAACGCCUCUUCGGUUUCUGAGAUCGACCCUCGUGGUCUCUGAGCAGCCUUGCUUUUGAGAAAGCAAACGCCUCUUCGAUUUCUGAGCAGGCGCCUCUUCGAUUUCUGAAGCUUCGUCGAGUGCAGAUUUUUAUAAGGGCUGACAUUAAGUUCCAAAGCACACUUGAAUAUCCACCAGUAAAAGCUCCAUUCUUGCACUUCUAAGAUCUUGAUUUGUCCGACCUCUUCUCUCUUCAACACCUUUGAAAAUGUCUGGCCCCUCCGACCGUCGUUUUGACUUGAACCUUGUUGAAGAGGCAGCCCCGCCUUCUCCAGACAACAUAUGGCGCCCAUCCUUCGUCUCCCCUACUGGUCCUCGUACCGUUGGGGAUUCCGUGAUGAAGAAUGAUAUGACCGCUGCGGUAGUGGCCAGGAACCUUCUCACUCCCAAAGAUAACAAACUACUUUCCAAACGGUCUGAUGAGUUGGCUGUUAAGGAUUCUCUGGCUCUCAGUGUUCAGUGUACAGGUUCUGUGUCUAAUAUGGCCCAACGCCUAUUUGCUCGAACCCGCCAAGUUGAAUCAUUGGCAGCUGAAGUGAUGAGUCUCAAACAGGAGAUUAGAGGGCUCAAGCAUGAGAAUAAACAGUUGCACCGGCUCGCACAUGACUAUGCUACAAACAUGAAGAGGAAGCUUGACCAGAUGAAGGAAUCUGAUGGUCAGGUUUUACUUGAUCAUCAGAUAUUUGUGGGUUUGUUCCAAAGGCAUUUAUUGCCUUCGUCUUCUGGGGCUGUACCGCGUAAUGAAGCUCCAAAUGAUCAACCUCUGAUGCCUCCUCCUUCUAGGGUUUUGUCCAGUACUGAGGCUCCGAAUGAUCCCCCUCCGGUGCCUUCUCUUUCUGGGGCUCUACCGACUGCUGAGACUUCUCCUAAGCAACCUUUGUGAAUGCUCCUUCUUGUUUAUUUAUUUUGACUCAAGUAUAUGUACAUAUUUGUAACUUAUCGGGGAUAUCAAUAAAUAAGCUUUCCUUCAUUUCAACGUAUUGUGUUAAAUACACCAAAGCCUUCUUCGCUAAGUUCUUUGAAUUUUCUUUUGUUGAAGCUUGUAUGUUGAAGCUUUGUGAGUGGAGCAUGUAGGUUGAGGUAGUGUUCCCUUAAUUUUCCGAGUGAGGAAAACUUCUCGGUUGGAGAAGGUAUCAGAGCCACCAGCGAGUUUAUAAUCUAGUCGACAAUAUAUGAGCUCAACAUGCAGGUGGAUCUCUCAAUAAACAGUGACGGAGUUACACAAUGCGCUCAUGCAACACUAGGUUUUUGGCAAAAAAACCGGCGGCUAUCCGUUCAGAGAGAGUCAUACCUAUUAAUCCCGUGUCUGAAUAGCAAGAACCAAAAUGGUAAUGCAGGCACACAAAAAGAACGAAAAACAAACUCAUUUCCGAACCAAAACUAACAGCAUAACAGCUCUUUUUCUACAUGGUUAAAAAGAGUAAGACGCGUUUGAGGUUUAACAGAACAAACCCAGUUUUUCUUCCUUCAGGAGAUGACACAACUUAGCUUCUAGAUGUAACCAUAAGGACACACACUGCAUAAGUUCCUUCACCUCGUCUAAAACCGAGAUCGCAGGACUCGUUCAAAAUGAAGAAAGACUGUAAGGUAAAUUCAAACCGAGAAUUAUAAUCUAGUCAAAGCUCACAACCCCACAAACUAUGAACAUAUCACAUAAAAGUAAAGCAGAGCUUGAGAAAAACGGGCAUAACAAGACCAAGCUUCUUAGUUUGCACGACUUUUGAUAACAUCGAGACCUAUCUCAGAUGGAUCAGUGGCCUGCAGCUCGACUUGUAUGCCGUCCAAUUCUCUCUUGAACCUGUCCUUGGAGCUUGCAUAAAUCAUCUUGUUUCUCACCCUUGCUGUGUCGGGAGACCUAUGAAUAUGGUAAAGAACAUAAGCAAAAAUGACGGGAAAAAAAAGAGACGCGUUUUUGGGUUAUAAUAGUACCAUCCGACGAAGAAAAUCCUGCUUUUCUGACAGUUCUCUACAGUCACAAAGUCAAAAUCAUAGACAGCAUAUCUGCAUUCAUUAUCAGGAAGGUUUGCAGUAAAGUCUUCAUAGCUUUCAGCUGGCUCACCGAGUUUCUCCACAAUCACCUCAUUUUUCUUCUCGUCAAUCUUGAACACUAUGAAGCGAUAUGUUCUCUUAGCCUUCAAUUCCAGAAACUUCAGCUUGCAGUCAUCAUUCACAGCAAAUCCGGAUGCUGCAUUAGCCUGAUCAUAUGAUGAAACAGAAGAUAGAUGUUAUUCUUAUGCAACUUAUUUCCACAAACCCAACACACACUGGUUUUGAAACAAUAAACAUGUAUUCACUCUCCUACUCAGCCAAAAAAAUUAAGCUCAGAAAUUCUCAAGAAAACAAUUAAUCUGCAAUGUUGUGCCAAAGUAAUCAAACAACGGAAUCAGAUAUUAAAAUGCCACGGUGCCUCUCCUUGAAUGUAAGGGCCCGUUUAAUAACCAAUUUUAAUUCUAUAGAUAGAGAAGUAUGAGGGAGAAAGGAGGAGCAAGGGUGAACAAGGGAUAGUGGAACAAAUGUGUAAUGGCACACAAUGGAAACUGAAAACAAUUUUGAAGUUGUUUUCGCUUUCUAGUUUUGUUUUCAUAUAAUCUCCUUCAUUUCUCCCCCUCCCAUCACCCCUCCCACCACCUCCCUUCAUCCUUUACAUUCCUUAUUUCUCCCGUAUACUCUCCCUCUACUUUAGCACAAAAAAUGACAACUAAGAACUAAAAACGAAAUGGUUAUCAAACGGGCAACAAAGGCUGCAAUUUUUCUGGUCACAAAAGGAAGACAACUUAGAUGCAAUGAUCAUUAUAAAACAUCCGAUGGAGAUCCCAAGAGACUAUUCUAGAUACUUAUUUCAUUUCCGAUCCUUGAGGUUUGGUCAGGCAAUUAAAAUAGGCAGACUGAUUUUGAAAAGAAUUUCAAAGUCUGAAACCUCCUUCCCUCCCAUCCUUCCUUCUCUUUUUUCUCUCCCUCUUUCUCUCCGAUUGUAGACGUUCUGUCUCACCCAAUUUCUUAAAGAGUAGUGCGUAAUGAUACAGGAUUCAACUUGAAUCUUUCAAUUUAAGCAUGUACCAUGCAGGUUGGGCUAUAGAUUAGAUAUCUAAACUAAACAGGAAUGGACCAGCAAUCUGAAACCGAGAAACCAAGAAUGUGCCAGUUUUAGCAUAACAAAUGGCCAAAAAAGGAAUAAGACUACUUGAGGUACAUUUCUUCUUUAGUUUAGCUUCAACCGUAGACCACAGUCUCCUCUGUGAUGCGUCCAAGUUACACACUGUCAAAUCCCAAUUCCAUACACUAUGCACUAGUGCUAUACUUGCAAGAAUAAGAUCAAAUACAAUUCAGCAUCGCAACAUCCGUACGGAAUCAAAUUGGACCCCCGCAAUUAGUUCUGAUCAGUGAUCAGCUGGUUGACACUAUUCCAAUACCGAGCACUUGAAUCCCAACUCUCGAUCAAUUAACAGCUUUCUAAUCAGAUUUAAAUCUCAAUGCAUCUAAAUAUUGACACCCACAUCAACUGUUAGACUAAUGGAAUCGGUACAACGCAACUAUGUUCAAAUUUCACAAUCAACAUGACAGCAUUGCCAGUUUGCCACCAACACCAACACAAUCAGAUUACCAAAAUAUCAAACACAAAACAACACACAAACCCACCACAAAGAACCAAAAAUAAAAAAUAAUCAAAACUCAACAAACGAAGAAUAUAUAUGAAUGUGAUCAAAAUUAUUUUAUGAACCAAAAAUCAAAAGAAAAUUUUAAAACUUUAAGCAAAUAUCUUCAGCUACUGCAAAAUUAAAAUGAUACAAAAACCCAAAUUCAGAUCCACAACAAAUUACAAUCGAUUGAAACAAGUGCAUCUAAAACCCAUCACAGAUGAUAACCCAGAGAUCAAAGAUCAUAACCCAAAACACAUUAAAAAUUAAAAAAAAAAUAAAAAUAAAAACAAAAGCAAUGGGCAGGGAAAGGGAAGCAGGAGAGAGAUGCUGACCAUUGCUGUUGCAGACAAUGAGCUGAGUUGCUUCGACUAUGGCAGACAAUGGAGGACUGAGUGCUCUUCCGGUGUUUUGUGUGUGCUUCGGAGCUGGAGAGCUUCUGCUACGGAGACGGUGGUGGCUGAGGCUUCUCUUUCAUCCGCCUCCCACUUCUCUCUAAAUAGUAAAUAUCAUCAUGGAGGGCAUGCCAUGCGUGACAACGGGGAAAAGAAAAAGUAGGUCUGUCCCUAUCGUGGCUUGACGCGUGUGAGGGAGGUUGCGAAAAGACUGAUAGGCCCUUGGUUUAUGUGGCGUUUCUUCCCACUCGCCCAUCCAGUUGGCAAUUGGAGGGGCUUUUUUAUUGCCGUACUGAAAUGGAAGUUUAUUGAAUCUGUAAUGUUAAGAAGAUUAAAAUUUUAAAUUAAAUUGUAAUGUAAUUAUUGAUGAUUAGAUUAUUAAUUAAGUAUUAGUUAAUAUAGUUAUUAUUUUAUUGGUGACAUCUAAUUUGAUUUGCAAAUUUAGUUUAGAAAUUUGAUCUCUCUAGCAUUAUCCUAAUUGAAUAAAUGAGACCGUAGAAAAGUAUAAAAAUAAUUAAUAAUGUUUUUUUAGUACCUUAGAGAGAAAAGAAAAAAUAAAAUAAAAGAUGUAUUUGUUGCGCCGAACUAUCUUAGAUUGGGUUUGUUUUAGGGACUAAGUUAUAUUAGCUUGACUUGGACUAAGUAAGAUAAAAAUAAUGAACCAUUCGGUGCAAUGUCGUACUAGCUGAGGACAUCUCCAAAGGAGAUGUCAAAAUGUCCAAAUCAGCAAUAACGGUAACAAAUAGAGCAUUAAUGUUUUUCAAUCGAGAAGCCAAAUAUGAUAUGGCAUGACAUGGAUUGAUAUAUCUCCCCCUUGCUGCCAAAUUUAACAGCACCUUCAAAUUUUUUUAAUUAAUUAUUAAAUGCUUUUUAUUCAUUUUUUUUAUUGGUUUAAAUCAUUAUCCUUUUGUUUCUUUCCAUUCCCAAUGCAAAGAAAAUACAUAUAAAUUAUUAUUUUAUGUUUAAAAUUUGACUUAUCAAUUGGAGAUCAAAAGUUUAAAAGAUGUCAAAGUGUCACGUAAGCCUUCAAAUUUAAAUUUUAGGUUUAAAAUUUGACAUCUCCUUUGGUAAAAUAUCCAAAAUAGACGUACCAUUUCUUAAUAGUUUUUCUUUAAAAAAAAAAAAAACUAAAAACAAAAAGCCUCGCAUCCGACGUUUCACUCUCUCUCCCCUCAAAAAUGGUCAUUUUCAAAUGCCAAUUUUGUUAGAGCAACUCCACCAUUGCAAAGGCCCCUAGGACUAUUCAUUAUUUAAUCCAUCAAGUAAACAGUAACUGCCUUAAUCAACAGUAACCGUCUUUUGCAUCUCUACCCCUACACUGAAUAGCCAUCACAAUAUGCAAUAAAAUAAUACAAAAUAAUUUUAUUUGUAAUUUCGAAUAAAAAUUUUAAUCGUUCUCGUUGUGCCACGUGUCAUUAUCCAAAAAGACAAUUAUUGGUGAUGAAUUUUGAUAAGAUUUGUAUCCAAUGUCAUCGUGCCACGUGCCGUUACCUUUUUAAAAUCGUUGAGGAUAGAUUUCCGAUAAGAUUUUUAACCAAAUAUGUCGCGCCACGUAUCACAAUCUGUUUACGAUCUUUGAGAAUAGAUUUCGAUCAGAUUUUUAACGAAUGAUGGCAUGCCACGUGACAUUAUCUACAACCUAAUUCUUUCUAAAUCCUCCAUAUAAUCCACCAUCAAUCCUUAGAAAUCUCACACCAAUUUUCUCAAGAUCUCUAUCAUUAUUCAUAGUUUCUGCUUCAUUCUUCACCAAAAUGUUUGAUUUAGAGUCACUUCGAUCCAUCAUGAUGACGUGCAUCAUUCUCCACAACAUGAUUGUGGAAGAUGAGUAUGAUUAUGAUGCCAUUGAUGAAUAUGAGCCAGACACGAUGAACAAUUCCAGAACACAAAUAUAUUGUGCUCAUGACGUUACCGAAUAACCCAUGCAGCAUGAGCCAUUAGAAAGGGAUGGACGUUACAAUUAAAUGCUCAUUCAACGAUAUACUGUACUUCAAAGGCCAUAUAUGCACAAUGCCCGACAAAUUGACUUGAUAGAGCACCAGUGGAAAUUGAAAUAAGUUCAAGAUACUUAAGUUCAUUUAGUGUGUUUGUUUUUAUUUGGUGUGUUUUUUAAGUUCAUUUAGUGAGUUUUUAAUUAUUUAGUAUGUUUAUGUAAUUUUAUUUGGUGUGUUUAUGUCCUUUGAAUAAAGAUUGUCUUAGUUUAAAUAAAUUACCAAAUUAAAUAAAUAUACUCUUAGUUUAAAUAAAGUACUAUAUUAAAUAAAUAAGAAAUUACAAUCCAAAGUGAUUGGAAAAUUAUGGGCUCUGAUUACAAACAAAGUGAUGGGAAAAUUAUGGGCUCGUGAAUGGAAAAUCAUCACCUAACCAAUUUGUGGUGCUAGGAUCAUCUUCUCAUGUGGUGCUAUGACCAUCUCCUCUUGCUCUUGCUUCUCUUGCACGCCUCCUUUGCACCAAGUCUGCUUUCUCUGAAUUCCAAAAAUAUUUAGAAUUCGGAGACUUCCCUUCUAAAGGUGUGUUCAUAAUGUCACAAUCUCAUUGAGCCCUUAUUCUCUAAUCUCUUCCCUGUCUUGCCUAAGUAGCUCUCUUUCUCUCUCAUUAGCUUGAAAUUCUCUCACAGCAGCUGUAGCUUUUGCCUCCUCUCUAGCCUUAUUAGCCUUAAAUUUAGCCAUUUCUCGCGCCAAAGUCAAUUCACCUUGGCGAGCAAGUUCUUCCAUAUACUUUGCAUAAUCAUUCUUGGAAGCACUCCCUUUUCUCUUUGAAGCCUUCGUACCUUGAGGCCUAAUUGGAUAACGGGUCGACCCCGACGCUUGUUCAGGGAGAGUUUCCGACAUUUGUUCUGGGUCAUCUUUAUGAACAUGCAAGGCAUGAUCGGGCGUAGAAUGUAGAGGGGUGUUAUUCAUGACAACUUCUGGACCAAUAGGCACAAUUCUGAAUUGAGGACAAUCUUUGACAAUAUUCCAACAUUCCCACCGGGUGAUGAUUGCUUUUGGUUUUUGGAUUUGGCAUUAUACCAAGAUUGUGCUAGAAGUGUCUACACAAUGCGGGAGAAUAAAUAAUUAUAAUCAAAGUAGGUAAUAUAAAUAUGGGUAUAGUACAAACAAAUAAAUAAUAUAUUGUUACUUGAUCCGCUAAAUUUUCCCCACUUCGAAGAUUAUAACUAGCUUGUGCCACGUCAUCUCUCCACAUACUAAACGAUUGGCUAAGUAUUCUCUAACGACUGGACAUCGAUUCUUUGGUUCUUUUCCCAUCAAUUUUCUCAAAAUAAUUGGCAUGAAUAAGACUCCACAUUUCUCGUAACUGCAUCUCAUUACCCGUAAUCGGAUCAUUAGUAACUUCAACCCAGCUAGUACACAACGUAACAUCUUCAAUAAGUGUCCAAUUUGUACCUGCAUCAUUAGUCAUUUUGUUGGAAAAAAAAAUUGGAUUUAAACUUUGAGAGAAAGAUAGGAAUGUGGUUGAAACUAGUUGACAAAAUAUGAAAUUGUGGUGUAAGGUAGAAGAUAAUCAGAAUGUAUUUAUAUAAAAGUAAAAUUGUUUUUUUUAAUUUUUCAAUUUUUUUUCGGAUUUUUAUUAAUUUUUUAUUCACAUAAGUAAUCUCUACCAUUGGAUUAAAAAAAAUUUUGAAUUCCAAUUCUCUAGAUUGUGCCACGUGGCACAACGGUAAGAUUUUAGAAUUUAAAACUGUUUUUUCUUUUUUUUUUAAUUUAUAAAGCCGAAUAACGUGGACCGUUGAUUUCAAAUCCAAUGGCUGAAAUUAAAUAAGGUUUUAAUUUUUUUUUUACCGUUGGAAAUCCAACGAUCCAUAAAAUGUUGCCAUUGAAAUCCAACGGACGUGGGGAAGUCACAUGGCCUCCCCAACAGUAACAUUUCAGAAAAACGUCGUGGGCCCCAUGUCUAAAACAGUGUUGGACGACGUGCGCCCAUGCGCAUGCUCUUAGCGCAAAAAAGAGAGAAAACGUGGCUGACGUCAGCCUUGCAUCAUACCCACUUUGGUAAUUGCAGGACAUAAGAGUACAAGAUUUGGUAAUUGGGUUUCCACUUAGUCUCAUUAAUACCUAAAAACAAUCAUUUAACAUAAAAAGAUCAAUUGCGACAUUCGUAUGCGUGUAACAAGAGACUAGUAUAUAUUAAAAGAAAUAUCUUAUGAAAUAUAGAUUGUAAUUUCAUAUUAUAGUAUAUAAAAAGAAUUGUUAUUGGCACUCCAAAUUUUUUAUAUUUAGAAAGAAAAAAAAAUACUCUUAUAAAGAGUAUAAAAUAAGAUAUUUGAAGUGCAAAUAAGAGUUCGUAAAUAAUUUAGUAAUAAUUUGAAGUGCAAAUAUAAAAAAUUUGGAGUGCCAAUAACAAUUUUUUUUAUAUACUCUAAUAUGAAAUUACAAUCUACGUUUCAUAAGAUAUUUCUUUUAAUAUAUACUAGUCUCUUGUUACACGCAUAUCGCAAUUGAUCUUUUUAUGUUAAAUGAUUGUUUUUAGGUUUUAAAUUUAAUUAUUUUUUGUAAUAAAAAAUAUUCCAAAAAAAAAAAAAAAACAGAAGACUACUACGUGGGUUUUCUUUUCAUUUUUUUAAUGUAUAACCUUCAUCUCAAAAUUCAAACUGUCUUGAUUACUAUUUUGUCCCUUAUUAAUUAAGUUGUUUUUUUUUUCAAAAACUUUAAUAAAGGAGGGGCAUUUUGAACGUUUAACCCUUUCAUCCUUCUCACUUUAUAUACAGAGAUUCUUCAAAAUACACCCCAAAUCAUCCUAAUGUUCUUACUUAUUUUCUCGAUCUUCACUUUUACCCUUCAUUAUUGAGCAAAACUGAAAUCACUAAAAGCAAAAACACUUCGAAUAAAAAUAUGUUAACUUGACGAUGAAACAUAAAAUCUGCGUUUUUAGCUCGCCGUUCAUUUUACUAUUAUUCGAAAAAGCACUACUAUGGGUUGUUUAUCAAAGAGAUAAACUUUGAAACAAUUGGAAAGGAAUUUGAAUUCCAGAUACCUAAGUUCAUGUAAUGGUCAUCCAGAAAUCAGAUGAACUACCAAGUUUCUUAUGAUGAAGAAAAUAUACAAAUAAGUACUCUUGAGUUUUCAUAAUUCAAAAAAUAGAUGUGGGGUGUAUUCAAAUAAACUUUAAUUUAAAAAAUAGAUGUAGGUUGUAUUAGGUAUGUGAGGUGUAGCCACCAAAAUAUGGGGUGUGAAUAAAAUAGCUCAAAAAAGGUCACUUAGUACUACGUUUUAGUGAUAUUUCUUUUCAAUUGUAAGUGAAAUGUUUUAUGUUUGAUUCUCGUCAAAGACGAAUUUGAACCUCAUUAUUGCUAGCCUAUUGUGUGACUUAGCCCACUCCUCCAUUUCAUCCCUAAUGUAGAUAAUAUCAUUUUUUCAAAAAAAUAAAAAUAAAAAUCUAUUGCAGGUGGACACUUUAGUGGGUCAACCAAUGAUCGGAAUCCAAUUCUUCAUUAAUCGGAAUCUAGUUCUUGAUUUCCUAGUGUUUAUUAAACAUAUAAUUAUUCACUAAUCGGAAUUCAAUUCUUUAUUUUGAUUCCAAUUAACGGUAGGUAAACAGGUCAUUCCUGGCUUUAUGAAGAGUGAUAAAAUCUAAAAGUUUCAUAAUGUUCAUGCAUGCAAGCAUCCUCUAUUUUAGCUUUUCUUCGAACAAUUUAUUUUCAAAUACACCUUCUUCUGGCGUGCGGAAGGGGAAUGGAAUGAGAGAAAUGAAAAUUGCACCCAUUCUAAGUCAUUCAGUAGCGUGUUUACGUAUCUGUGAUGGGAAUAAAUAUAGGGAAUUGGAUUUCGAUUAUGAAGAAUUCAAAUGUUUACAAAUUUUGAAAGAAUCAAGAGAGUGAUAGAGUUCACACAAAAUAAGGAAUUCAAUUCCUAAAAGUGGAGGAAUUGAACUCCCUAUAUUGAUGAGGUAUUUGAAUUCCAUGAGGGUGAGGGAAUCGGAAAUGCAAGCCUUCUUCCUAUUAUGCCCUCUUAUUAUUUUUAAAAUUUCAAUCUGCAAGCCAUUUCCUUCUAUUUUUCUUCGUUUUUUUUCUUGAUACAAACCAAAGGGCUAGCUGUUUGAUAUAUCAUAUACGCACACAAUAUAUGUAAACAAGAAGAGUGCUGAGGAGGUGGAUGAGGGCAUGUUAAAACAACUAAUUAAAAUGUUAUUAAAAAAACAUAGAUGAAAUAAAACAAAAAAGAACAAGGGCAUUUUAUUAUCAUAUUGAUUUCUAUUCCGAUUUAGGUGAAUUUGUAAACAACUUAUAUGAACUCAGUUUUAUUCCUACUCCGAUUUCAGAAUAUUUAAGUAAACAACUUUAACAAGAAUCUAAUUCUAACUCAUCUUCAAUUCAAUUCCUCCUUAAUUUAAUUCAUCUGAUUUUGAUUAUGGUUAUGUAAAUGAGCCACAAGUAUUUGCAUUUACCAAUACUUGGAGAAUGAAAAUACAUAUAGACCCACCUAAAAUGGAGAAUCAUACUCCUUAAACUUCUAGAAUUGGAUUCUUGAGAUUGGUGUGGUAUUUGAAUUCAGUCUAAUCAUACUUAUCUUCUACUGUCGAACCACUAACACCAAUUUAUACCUAAAAAUUUGUUUAGCAACCUCUAAAACAAAUUUGACAUUCUCCAAAUUUUGAAAUCACCAUAGCUCACCAAAAUUGCAGCGGGAAAUUGAAAAAAAUAAGAAAGCAAAAACCAAAACAAGAACAAAACAAAAACCUUGCUCCCCAUUGGUCAAUCACUUACCACGCGGAUAGCUACCCUGGCGUCCACUACCGUCGAUAAGACCCCCAUCUGACGGUCCCAAUCCUCUAACCAGCUUCUCAAGCCUUCGAUAUCCCCUGGAACAAUAUGAUCCACAAUACAUCCCACUCUAUAAAGCACAUCCUCUUAACUGAUUCCCAAAUCCACUGUCUGAACAUUGGCAAUUCUUUCUCUCCGUUUCCGAUUUGGGUUUUUGAGUCAGAAGGGUGUCUCAGGUUCUCAGUGAAUUUUAGUGCGGUUAGGGUUUGAGAUAUGGAGACUGGUGGUAAGUUGAAGAAAGGUGCCGGAGGAAGGAAGGGCGGCGGUCCGAAGAAGAAGGCGGUGACCCGGUCCGUCAGGGCCGGCCUCCAGUUCCCAGUCGGAAGAAUCGGCCGCUACUUGAAGAAGGGACGGUAUGCGCAAAGAGUCGGGUCUGGAGCUCCGGUUUACUUAGCCGCUGUGCUCGAGUACCUCGCAGCUGAAGUAAGUCUCUUUCUCUAUGACCUCUUUUCUCUCUCUAGAUCCAUAUGUGAGUUUGAUCUUGUUUUGGUAGCUAAGGUUUGAGCUUUGAGUAUCGGGGUUGUGUUUAAUUUUUGUGGUUUAGGGUUUGUGUUAGAUUUCUGCCCGAAAUUUCUGUUUGGUUGCUGAGAAAAUUUCUGAUGUGGGUUUCUUGGUUUUUAUCCAGGUCCUGGAGUUGGCUGGAAAUGCAGCUCGGGACAACAAGAAGAACAGGAUUAUCCCAAGGCAUCUGCUACUGGCCGUGAGGAACGAUGAGGAGCUUGGAAAAUUGCUUGCUGGUGUGACCAUUGCUCACGGCGGUGUGCUUCCAAACAUCAACCCGGUCCUCCUGCCCAAGAAAUCAGAGAAAGCCGCCGGAAAGGAGCCAAAAUCUCCAACCAAGGCAACCAAGUCUCCAAAGAAGGCUUAGGUUCUCUCAGUGAAUCAAUCCCAGCAAAUGUUUAGUCAAAUCCCCACAUGUUUAGAUUUAGUUUGUGACCCCUCCCCAUUUGUAUGUAGUCUGUAUGCAGCAGGUCUUUGUCUUUCGUUUGUUGUAGGAGAAAAGAGAAAUCGAGACUUGAACUUCCAUUGAAUUUGAAAGCAGUUGUAAUCCUUCAAAAUCUUGUGUGAUCUUGUCAUGUUUUAGGAGCUUUGAUUUUCUUGGAAUUCCAUUUAUGAAAUUGAAACCCCUUGUUUCUUUCAUUGCCUCAAGUAGUAGUUUGUUUGAUGAGAUUUGAAGGUUUGGUAAUGAUGCCUUUUGAUGUGAUGUUAUUUGUCAAUUGGUUGCUUUGUGAAUUGUUUGAAGAAAAGGGACCUCUUUUUUGUUUUUAUCAAGCAUAAUCUGCACCCUUUAUCCAAUAUUCCUUUUGCCUUUUAUACCACCUUUCUUUACUGUAAUGACUUGGUAUUAGUUUGGUGUCUACGAUUGGAUUCAAUAACUUAAUACAGUUAAAGAUAUGUUAAAAGAAUAAAUGGAAUAAAUUUUUUUUUGUUUUUUUAAUCUUGGAUUUAAGGUAGUUAAAUUUCUCACGAAGGAAACUUAUUCCAUUCAAUUCUUUGAAAAUGAUGAUUAAGGGCUUGCUUGGUAUGCAGGAUAUGAUUGGAACUAACAAUUCUCUUAUUUUAAGGCAUAUUGAUGGUUGAAAAUGAUUUUUGGUUGAAGGGGAUGAGAAGAGGAAUACAUAUGAAGAAAAUUCAUUCCUUCUAAUUCUAUCAUUUUGGAGAGGAUCUGAAUGGAUAAGUUUUUUUUUUCAUGAGUAAUUCAUCUUCUAAUCUCUUAUUGGUUUUAAGUUUUUCAUUUCUCACCUUAAAAUACCAUAAAAUUAGGAGUUAUCCAUUCCAAUUCAAUCUUAUAUACCAAACGAGCCAUAACUUCCUUCACGUCCUCUAAUCCCUUCAAAAUGAAUGUCAUUUAUCUUGAAAUUGAUGAGUUCAAUCCAAUGAAAUCUUUGGAGCAGACGAGACCUCAGACCUUGGUGUUUUUAGGCAGAAUUGCUCAUUGGAAAUUGGCAUUUGAUGUGUAGAGUUGAGAAAGGAGAAAGGAGAGUAGAAAUUGGAAGUGGGAAACCCUUUUGUUGAUGUGAGUAGUUGAAUCAUUUAAUCCUAUGCGUUCACCUUCUGCACUACAUAUGUGAUUGAUUUGGAUUUGGCUAUGUUCUGUAUCCUUUUUAUCUUUUUUGAGGGUCUGAAAGAAAAAUACCAGUAGACCAAUAAUUAGACAGUAAUGACUAUGUAUUUUGAUAUCUGUUGCACGAAAUUUAUUGUUACCAUUAAAAUUACUAUUUGGUUCUCGGAAAUAAUCACGCCGAAAUAAUUUGGUGAAGCUCUCUUCCUCUUGUGUUCAAUGCAGGAACAUUCUUGCAUAGGAAGAAAUAUCGUUGAAUGGUUUGGUGUUCAUCGAUAUAUAGCGGACACUUGAAAAUGGAUUGCCAGAUGCUAAUUUUGCUACUUUCUUCAAUUUUCAAGAAUUAUAUUGGCUUUUGCUGUUACUUGUAUGUAUGUAGGUAGAGGAUAUGGGAAUGAGCAUAUGAUAGGAAGCAGACCCUAAGAGUCUAUGUCCAUUUUUUUGAGAUGACAUUUUCAUUACAUUCUUUAUCGUAUACGUGAGUGAUUUUUAGCUACUUAUUAAUAUAAUACAUGGAUUGGAAUUUAUAUAAGCUAUGAAGCACGGAUACGGAUGCGGUAAUACGAAUUUGGGAGCAUGAAAAAUAAAAAAAUGGGAAUUUGGUAGCAGCGGGGAUUCGCCAAUUAAAAAGGUUUAAAUAACGCACCCUGUCUCACUUCAAAAUUCAUGUGUAGGACAAAAACAGUGUCGUUUUGUGAGUCAGGGUAGGGACUGCACUUCAUCUUCUAUCCGCAGCUUCUUUGGAAGGCGGAACCACUGAGCGACAGCCGUUCACACAGCCGCUUCAAGCCGCUACCAACCGAACCCAGGCAAACCAGGCGAAUCCGCUCCCGGGGCGCCAAACGGCACCGGUUCAAAGAAUCCGUGCUCAUUUUACUUUCACCCAGCCGGAGGAGCAUCGAGCUUUCAGUCAGCUCAUGACGGAAGCGUUUUGCGGCCAUAUUCCUCCCAAUAGACCGGCGCACGCUAAGGUGAAAUGAGAGGCGCAAAUGGCGUAGUUGGUAUUCUGCGCACGUCUGUCCUGGCCAGGAUUUUAUUGACUCGCCACUCUUGCUCCAAAUUGUUUGUUGCAGGUCUGCCAAAACCUAACCCUUUUGCUUUGAUUUGUUUCUCUUAGAAUUUUAUUUUUCGAUAUUCUCCUCGGUCGAUCUUGUUCUAAGUUAAAAUUCUUUGGUCGAAAUCUUAUUGCCAAUGCAUCAAAUAGCCAAACUCCAAUCCCAUUUCGCUGUAGAUUAGAGUAGUUUAGAAUAUCGCGUUUAUAUAUAGAUUGUUGAUAAAAGAUAUAACCGUGAAAUUUUGGAUUUUAAGUUCUACUGCUUUUGAUAUUGUAAAGAUCAUGGGUUUGGAGACGUGGAUUAUGCCAAUUGGAAAGGGCAUUUUACCCGGCCUUUCACACGCAAGUUCGAAUCUGUAGAUUAGAGCAGUUUAGAAUAUCGGCUUAGAUUUGAAUUGUUGAUAAAAGAUAUAACAACUAAAUUUUGGAUUUUAAAUUUGUUUGAGGCACCGAAGUAGGGGAAACAAGUUCCGACAGCUUUUGAUAUAGUAAUUAUACUGCAGCCUAAGCUAUCUGUAAUAUGCAGGGCUUUCCUGGGAUACAAAUGAACCUGUUCUUAAGGAAGCUUUCGGAAAACAUGGUGAAAUAAUUGAAGGUAGUGUUAAACUCUUUGAGGCUGGCAAUAAUUUCGUAGGUCUUUAUUUUCUUGUAGAUGAUGCAAGGAUACCAAUUAUUUACUUGAGAAUUUAUGUCGAUGUGUUAAACAGUUAAAGUUAUUUGUGAUCAUGUGAGUGGGAAAUCGAGAGGGUAUGGAUUUGUGAAAUUUACCUCUGAAAGUGAAGCCACCAUUGCUCUCAAGGAGAUGGAUGGUCAGGUAGUUUUGUCCAUCAUGAUUAAUUUCUUUGUAAUUUGCAUGUGUCGAAAACUUGAAAUCACCCUACUAGCUACCUUAUUAGGAACACAAAGUAAUAUUAUUGCUCCAUGUUUGUGUUACUUUUCAGGUUCUGGAUGGCAGACAAAUCCGCUUGCAAUUUGCACACAAGGAGUAGUGACAUUGAUCUGAGGUAAAAUUUACUUAGUAGAUAAAAGCUUUUUACGAUUUAAGUGUUUGGUCACACUACUCUGUGCUUUGGUUCUUUCCAUGGAGUUUACUAAUCAAGUUCUGUACCAUAUAAUUUUCGUUGGCUGGAAUUCCUUUUACAGUUGGCUUUGUAUUCAUUCGUUACCAGUUGCUUCCAUAUGCUAGUCAUGCCUUACAUAACAAAUAUCCAUUUUUUCACGGGAAAUAAGUUGCCAAUUUUUCAUGUUGCAUAAACCAGGAAAAUUUAACAUUUUGGGAAGCGUUUUGGGUUAGAAAAAUGAUUUAGCUUCAAAAUUUCUUGCUUCUCAUCGAUGAUAAAGCAGGUUCUAGGCUGAUUUUGGCUUUUCAUAUUUCUGUCUCACAAAUUGCUUCUAUUGACCAUCAAUUGAUGCUGCUAGAAUGAAAACUGGUGGCAGGAUUUAGCUUACAAUUGUCCAAUUGAUAAUGUAUAGCAUAAAGUUGUUUAAUUUGAUUACAAAACAUGCAUGUUCUAAGGGACUACGGAUGGUGGUAGGGAGCAUAGCGUUAACUUGCUCCCAUUUGCUCCCAGGACAUAUUUGUCUUGAACAUAAUAGGUGAGAUCCAGAAAGCUGGUUUUUUGUUUGUUUCGGAGCCUGUAUAAUUUACUUUAGGAUGCUUCCUCUAAGUGGUAAUAUCAUGUCUUGUUGCGUGUUUGAGCAGGUACAGUGGAUUGGAGGGGGCAUGCAGCAUGCCGCAUGCUGUGGUAGGUAGUGGUAACCAGCAAGUCCAAAUUUAAGUUGCCCACAAAUUGUUGUUGUCCAUUGACAAUUCUGUAAAAUUCUGAGUGAUAAUUUUUUCCAGUUAGUGUCGUCAUCUAUGAAAUCAAGAUAUUUGAAGAGAUUUGAUCAAACGUUACGGUGAAACACAUACGUCUCCCGUACCAUAAAGAGACAUUCCAUCAAGUUUAUAUCCCCUCAUGGCGGUUCUUUGAAAUGAUCUGAAUCGAAAACUUGGCUUACGACUGGUUUUGGAUCUUUUGGUACGGCAAGGGUAGCAUGUCCAUGGGGUAGCAGUUGGAUGUUCAUACACAAUGAUAGGGAAAGAACUAAGACCUUCAUGCCCUUCUUGCCCCUGCCCUCCAUUCCAUCUUGGUGUAGUUUUGCAUCCGUACAUAUAUCACAAACUCUGUUGGUUUUUGCUAUAAAAACAGGUCUUAGUUCUGUGAAAAAACAAAAAUGAGAAUAUGCACAAGUUUUUGUUGUUUGUGGGCUUUUGGAGUGAGAAUAUGGAAAUGUUUGUGUUGUUUGUGAGAUUUUGAGGAAACUAAACUUAUCGAGAUCGGUUUAGAGUAUGGGUGGGCACGAUCUGAAUCCAGAUGGGCGAUAACAUAGAAAUAAGGAGGUGGACGGGAAACAUAGAUUGGAUAAAGAAGGGAUCAGAAUAUGGAGCACAAGUAGAUUCGGUCGAAACAUUGGGGACAUAAUGCAGGCCGACGAGCACGCAGAAAAUAAAAGAAGAAAUAGAGAAACAUGAGAUGACCACCGACCCUCUGUUUGGCCAGGGCCAGCGACGGAGAAGGGAGGAAGCUCCAUGAGAUGGCCACCGACCCUGGAUCUGGCCAGGGCCAGCGACAGAGGGAGGAAGAAGUAAACAUCAAACUCUCACAAGGAGAAGGAACUCUAAUGAGCUCUCUCACGAAGGGGAGUAUUUUAAGACUUUUGUACUCUCGUUAAUGCGUAGUGCAAACUAUAUAUAAGAGAAACAAUCAAGAAUAGUAAUCUCAUCGUUUAGCAUAAGCGAAGUUGAAUUCUCAAUCCUUAUUUCUCAAACUCUAUAUCCCUUUUCAAUGCGGAAAAAAAAAGAAAAAAAAAAAGAAAGCAUGGUAAUCUGAUUUGAGUUCAAUCCUAAACCAUUCCAUUUUCGUCGAUUCAACCGGCCAACACUGAAAGCUACAAAGCAUGUGGGCAUGAAGACAUAUUGAACAAGACAAUGACCAAGUUAACUUCCCUCAAGAAUAGGUAUCGUUUUCAUGCCUUCCAGUCUGGGCAACUUCAACAAAAAUCAGCCUCCCGUCAACCAUCUGGACAAAUUAUCAACAAAUUAAGAUUUCAGAAGAGAAAGAGGUCGAAAAAGCACAACAAAACAAGGGAUGCUGGCAAUUUGAUCAACCAAACACACAUUCAGGGAUAAAAGACCAGAAAUGCUUGACAAACUGCAGUCUAUAGCAUCUCUAUCAAUUCAAUUUGACUAAUUUCAAUAUUAAAUUGAAAAACGAAACAAAUUUACAUAAUUUAACAGCAUAAGAACACUUCUGAUACGAGUGAAUUAACCACUUUAAUCUGAAAAAAAUAUGGAUUUGUGAAUUGGGUUUUGUUUUUCCCAUAGGAAGGAAAUUACCCUGCCAUCCAUUGCCUUCAAAGCUUUUUGUGCCUCAACAUCUGACUGGUAAGUAACAAAACCAAAACCUUUUGGUCUAUCAGUUCGACGAUCCAUAAUUAACCUAGCUAAACAAACAAAUCAAAAAAUCACAAAGGAAAAACCAGUCACUAAUUUUCCACAUAUUACGGAGUAAAAAAAAUAAAGAAUUAGAGAAAAUUAAUAUGGAAAAAAAAAAAAAACCUUCUGUAACAUUUCCAAAAGGAGAGAACAAUUUCCUGAGCUGUUCACUGGAAGUGAACGAUGAUAACCCUGAAAAACAAAUCCAGGAAAUCAGAACACAAAAACCCAAAACAUAAAAUUUGAGAGAGAGAGAGAGAGAGAGAGAGAGAGAUUACUGCUGACGAAGAGCUGCGAGCCUAAUCUUUUGGCCAUCUCUGUGUGUUAACCCAAAUCCCGGAUUUCUAUUUAUUUUGAUAAAAAGUAGUGAACGAGCAGUUUUUGUACUUUAAAGCUAAAUUGGGAAUUUAGGGUUCAUCACUUCGAAGUUGUAAAUUAGUAAACUCACUUGUGCCCAGAUGCUAGAUAUUUGUUGAGCUUUAUUGGGCUUUGUUAUUGCUAACCAUCUGGCCCAUAUUCAAAAGGAGUUGAUCCAAUGUCUGCCAUGCCCAAAUUAGUUUGGAGUUAACAUAAAGCAAAAUCUACACAAAAAUGAAUGAACACUUGCAAAUCAAAAUUUACAUCUCCUCGUUUGCAUCUAGGGGUGGGCAUGGGCCGGGGAUAACAUUUUCUAAUAUAGGAACCGGACCUUACCCGGCCCAGUUGAAACGGGCCGGUUCGGGCUGGGUCCACGGGUCCUUUUUUUUUUUUUUGAAAAAAAAUAACUAAAAUUUGCACAGAUUCAGCAGAUUCACUACCAGUACCAGUGCAGACUGCAUUUGUGCAGAUUUUGCACAAAUUCACUCCGAGUCCCUGCAAUGAUUCACAUCCAAUCCAAAUACAAAGUCCAACAUCCAAGUUCAUAGAUUAAUAAUUUGAGGUAACAAAGUGAACAUCUGGGACAUUUCGACGUCAUUGUGAGAUAAGUUUAUUAAUUAUACUUGUUGCAGUUGGUAGAGAUGCUGAACUUGUAAGGGAGGUUAGCUCCACAGCUGGAAUCUAGCACCACUCUUUUCCAGACAGCUGCAAGAGAGAAACGAUAAAAAUAUAUGAGUUACUCUUGACCAUCUGGGAAAUUUACAAUAAAAUUGUAUGAUAAAUGAUAUUUAGGAAAUAGAGGUAUUAUUAAUGAGAAUAAUAUCUUUCCUUUUAUGCUUCUAUUAGGAAUCAGGAUAUACAAAUGCAUAGCCAGACAUCUAUUAUAAUCCUAACAAAUCAAAACUAGUGUAAGAACCUGAAGUUGUAGAGCCAGUUCAAAACAUAUAAACCACAAAGCAAGCAGGUGAUCUAUAUUAAAGAGCACUUUAAGUACAUAAAUCAAGUGAAAAGCCCAAUUGAACGCUAUACAAAAUACCCAAAUCUGGCUCAGGGUGACAAGCAAGUCCAGAAUAAUUGAAAUACGCAUCCCAGAUAAGUAAACAUGUCAUGAUUGUUUUCUUAAUUGAGAGAGAUCAUAAUUGUGAGUUCAACUUCGUUUGUAGCCACUACAAUUUAUAGGCUUCAACAUUCAACCAUUGGAGUUCCUACCUAAUGAGACAUCCUAGAGAAUACAAAACGCUCUUUGCCAGACACAAUGUAUCCUUUAUGUAGACAGACUUCUGGAACCUCAUUAACCCCAAAAACUACAAACUAUAUCUUUAUCAAUAUCCCUAUUUUUCGAAACAUUACAUAAGCAUGUUAAACUUCAUAGGUGAAAGUGUUUAUGAGAUUCUUGAGAGCAAAAGCAUGGUUUCCAAUGGAUAGUUUUCAUUUCUUCAGUAGUGGUCACACUAUCUAGUAUCUAAUUUUCUUAACAACUUAGAAGGCAUCAAAGCUUGCCAAAAUAAUUCUCUGAGGAUCAUGGUUAUAAAAUUUCUAACUCAUAGUACUUCUGAAACCAUCUCUUCCUCUAAAUUUUUACAUAAAAAAAUUGAAACAAAAAGGGAAAGAAAAAAAGUUGGCAUCUCUUCCCAAAUCCCAAUUUCUCACAGCCCUAGCACAAUUCAACAAACCAGUGAAGCUCAGCUAGCCUCAAAUUUACCAGCUAUAGUUGCACUUCAUAGUCUAGUAUGGACCAGAAAACUCAUGAUCCAUCAAAUGGCAGGAAUUCAAUAUAGCCAAACCAACACAAAUCGCCUUAGAUUGUCUAGACCGGUUACCAGGAGGAUUUCGUAGCGUCCAAAUUGGAACCAAAAACAAACAAUCUGACCUGAUUUAUUCAUCAUAUUAACAAAGUUAUUGCUGCAUAUGUACUGCAAACAGGAAUUCUAAUAGUCCAAACAUUCAGAUUAUUAAAGGCCCUCUGGGUUCUCAGAAGCAAAUAAAUCAAUCAUCAAUUCAAUCAUCAACAGUAACCUAGUUCGAAAACCCUAAAAUCCCUACACCCAAAAUUCAAAUUAAUAACAAAACCCUAAUUCAAAAUUACCUAAAUUUUAGAGGGAUGAUGGAUGGUACCAGUGUCCUCGACGACGAUGAUGGGGUGAUGGUGGUCGCGACGGUGGGGGUGCUGUCAAAGAGGAGAGAAUCCACGGCGGGGCUAGUGGGGUGAUGGCCUGGGUUCUAUGGGAUGUCGUCGAGGAGGAUGAUGGGUGAUGCCGUUGUGUUCGUCGCGACAGUGGUGAUGUCGUCGAGGAGAAUCGACGGCUGGUGAGAACUGUGAGGAGGAGAACGAUUGGAGUCGAGGGACUGAGAGUCUGAGAGCGAGAGUGAUUCUGGAACCCGGGAGGAUUUGGCAAGGGUUAAAACUAACGGUUGAGGUUGGAUGAUAAGUUAUCAUUUAAUCUUGACCGUUCAUUAUAAUUAGAAAUGGGUCGGUUUGGGUACCGUUUGUUUUAAUUAGAGUAAAUUGUAACAAUGGUCCCUCAACUUCAAUCAACUUGGAGCAAUGGUCCCUCAACUAAAAAUUCAUUACCAUUGGUCUCUCAACUUAUCAAAAUGUGUAGUUAUAGUCAUUUUCAUCAAUUUCGUCAAAAUUUUGUCAAAAUAAGUUAUGUUGGAAUAACCAUUUAUAUAAUUAGGGUCCCUUAACUCAUCAAAGUGUGUAAUUAUGGUCAUUUUCGUCAACUACGUAAUUUUUUUUGUCAAAACGAGUUAUGUUGGAAGGACCAUUACUACAAUUGGGUUAAAAUUAAGGGAUCAUUUCUCCAGUUGAAUUAAAGUUGAGGGGCCAAUGGUAAUGAAUUUUUAGUUGAGGGACCAUAGCUGCAAGUUUUGAUAAGUUGAGGGACCAUUGCUUUAAUUGAGUUAAAGUUAAGGGACCAUCGCAACAAUUUACUCUUUUAAUUAUAAGAAACCGGCCCAGACCGUUUUCUUUCUACAAUUUUUUAGAACCGGCCCUACCUGCCCCGAACCUAGAUUACCUGUCCUGACCUGCGGUUUCUCUACCUGUUUGCCCACCCCUAUUUGCAUCUAUGCAUUAGAGCAAAGCUAAAAUUUUAUGUAUAUGAUCUCCAAUCUUGGAGAUGCUCUUAAGCCUCUUAGUUCUCACCUAAACCCAAGCAAGGGACUUCAUAUCUCGCUUACAAGUAUAGUAUACAUUGUCACAUCCCGGCUCGGGAUGGACCACUUCCCGGGCCCGCUCCACCACCAUAGCACGAUAUUGUCCGUUUUGGGCUUACCAUUCCCUCACGGUUUUGUUUUUGGGAACUCACGAGCAACUUCCCAGUGGGUCACCCAUCCUGGGAGUGCUCUGGCCUCCUUCUUGCUUAACUUCGGAGUUCCUACGGAACCCGAAGCCAGUGAGCUCCCAAAAUGCCUCGUGCUAGGUAGGGAUGAGAAUAUACAUUUAAGGAUCACUCCUCUGGGCGAUAUGGGAUGUCACAUACAUUCAUAUAUUUAUUACUUUAGUUAAGGUAGAAUGUUUUGCAGAUAUAUUUAUGUUAGUUUAUUAGUUUUUUUUUGUUACAAGAUAUUAAUUAGAUUUUUUAGAGUUGAAAAAUGCAUAAUAUUAGAUGAUUUUAAUUGAUUAUUAAUUUUUUUUAGAAAAUAUAAAAUGGAUAUAAAAAAAAAUAACUUAACUCACUUUUAAAAAUCAUCUAUGUUUUUGGACCUGGGCCUAAAAGCCUCUAAAAUUUAUAUAGUAAAAUAUGUUAUCCGCCAAGGCGGAUGUAAAGAUGCAUAUAUCCUUCUCAAGGGGGGAUGCAAUAAUCAUCAUUUUUCAUAAGGGUCGAUGAUAUUCCACCCUUUUUGCCCAUCUUAUAUAAGGAUAUAUCAUUUUUUAUAAUGAUAUAUUUAUACUAAGGGUGUUACUGAAAUAAACUGGUAUUCAAUUCGUGAGAUUCAAAUUUAAAAACUCUUACUUACAAAUAAUAAAAUAUCACUAUAGAAUAGUUAAAUUUUUAUUUAAAAAAUUAGUUUGAUUUUUCAAAUCUUUUAUUAAUGGGCACGAUUAUAAAGAAUUUAUGUUUAAAGAUCCGUUGAGAAGUUAUUGCAACCUAAAACAAUUAGAUGUCUAAUAUAUUUUGGUUAAGGAAUUGAACACUCACAUUCAACAAUCAUUUUUUUUUUUAUGUGGAGUACAUUACAUUUAUAAUUCUACCACAAAGGGGCACUAGCCAUAAGGCAAAUACAAAUACAGAAAUACACACACCAACAACAUAUACAACAAACUCACGAUGAGUUGUCGCAACUUAUUCCGACUCUGAAAGAGUUAAAUUGCAAAAAAAACUUAAAACAAGGCCCUACAACAUCCAUAAUGUGAAGUUACACUUAAUACACAGACUUAGUGUCUCCAACAUAAUCGGCCAAAAUAUUAUAAUUUCUUUUGCGCUUCUUAAGGAAGUUCUUGAACCAAUACGUCGAAAGUUUUGGGUGCCUUUUCCGUCCAUUGUCAUAAUCCACAUAGUUGAUACCAAAUCGAACUGUAUACCCUUCGCUCCAUUCAAAGUUGUCUAAAAUUGACCAUGCAAAGUAUCCUUUCACAUUACUUCCCUUCCUGCACCCCAAAAAAAAUUAAGGAAAACUAAUGAAAAUGGUUUGAAAACUUUGAGUUUUAAUAAUAAGGACAAAAUAAAGGGUAAAGUGAAUAGUACCAGAAUUGAUUUUUUAGUGUAAAAAUGUGGUUUUUGUUAAAAUGAAUAGUACCGAAAGCUUUUCGUUAAAGUUCCCAAAAAAUUAAUGAUUUGGCAUCAAUGUGAUUACUAAAUAACCAAAAAGCAAUAUAGUUUUAAUUACUUUGUCAACAACACUUACUUGAUUGCUGCUUGAAGGUAACAGAGAUGGUGAUUGUAGUAGUCAGUUCUAUUGGUGUCAUGAAGAGCAUCCUCUAGUGAUAAGGUUGAAUUAUUGACCUCGUCAAUGCCUGCAAUAAAAUUCAUUACAAUACAUAUUUAGUAUUCUCUUUUAUCUAAAAAAGAGAGAUGAUUGGUUUUAUAUUUAGAUUUGGCAGCACUUAACUGUAUUUUACAUCAAUUUAUACAUAUAUAAAAAAUGAUAAGUGAAAUAAUUAAGUUAGGUGUAAAAGUGUUAAUUACCAUUCUCAGUAAUGUAAAUGAUUGGAUCACCAUACUUAUUCUUCGUGUAGAGUACAAAAUCAUGAAUUCCUUUUGGAUAAACAUAUAACCAGUUUGAAGCAGCCUGUAAUACCAUAUUUGAGAUUUAUAAAAGUUGUAUAAAUUAAUCCUCCAAAUAUGAAUAACUUGACCUAAAAUUUGAUGUGUACCUGAGGACCAAUAGGAACGCCAUCAAGUUCAGCUGCCACAACAUAUAUAUGAAUGUGAUCAAUAGUAGAAUCUAAUAAUACUGACGUAUGAUUAAUUAGCCGAUAAAAUUUUUGAAUUUGUACUCACUUAGUAAAGUAACAUGUGGAUCAUAUAAGUAACUUGCAGGUUCAGAAUAAUUCUUAGGUACAUCAGCUGCAUAUCUAGCAGAAUAAUAGUUCAGUCCAAUAAAGUCAAAAGACCCAAUUAACAUCUUUGAUUCUUCAUCUGUGAAUUUGGGUAAUCGUUCUCUAACGAGGCCUUGCAUGCUGUAUGGGUAGUCACCUCUUGUAAUUGGAUCCAUAAACCUAUAAAAAUGUGAAACUUCCAAACAUGAACUUAUAGUAUGCAUACUAUACCAGUCACGGCUGGCUAGCUAGCUAAUCAACAUUAUAAGUCAUAAAUAGGGCGAUCUCAAACCAACAAAACUCCUUGUUUUGCAAGGAUCGGGAGGGGUGAGGAACGUUUAUCGUACGCAACCUUACCCUUAAUUUGCAAAUAGACUAUUUCCACAACUCAAACCUGUAACCUUUCGGUCACAAAUGAGCGACAUUUCUGUUGCACCAAGGUUUACCCUAUUUACGAGUCAUAAAUAAAUAAAAAGAAAUAGUAAUGCUAUUCAUACCAUGUUUUUAUACCACAUUUUUAUACUACCUUAAGUGGUAUAUGAUACGGACAAUAUCGUGCUACGGCAGUGGAGCGGGCCCGGGAUGUGAUGGACCCCGGGUCGGGAAAAUAAAAAAAAAGAAAAGAAAAGAAAAAAAGAAAAAAAGAAGGAAAAAAAGAAAAAAAAAAGAAGAAAAAAAACCACAUCAUUUGAAAAAUUUGCAAAACCCAAGGAAAUGAAGGAGAAAGACUUCUCGUAUACCACAAUCAUCGUUUGAUUAAUUAGUUUUUCUUAAUUAUUAGUUUAUUAAAUAAUGAACUAAAUUUAAAAAUCUGAUUAAUUCAAAUGAUGUGGUUGUCCACAUCAAAUACCACCUAAGGUGGUAUGAAAAUAUGGUACAAAAACAUGGUAUGAAUAACAUUACUAAAAAAGAAAUCAAUUGCACUUGCCAUCCGAACAUAAAAUCCAAAGCUCGAUAUGAAGCAUCCAUAUCUUCCUUUGCUUCUGAAGCAGGCUCAAACCAGUGCGACACUAGUGUUAUUCCUAUCACCCCAUUCUGAUAUGCCUACAAAGAAAAUUCAGAAAAUUAUUUGAUUUAGUGCCCUACAAAGUCCAAACUUUGUUUACCUCGCUAUACAAAAUGUUUCCUAGCACACCAAUAUUCAGACAAAAACAGGAACUAGCUAGCUAGUUAAUUAAUUGUACCUGAAAAUUUUCUUUGUACACUUUUACAGCAGCUGCAUGAGCAAGAAGUUGGUGGUGUGUGACUAAAUAGGGUUCGAUAGCUGAAUCUCCACCGAGGCAGGUUGGGUCUUGCCAAGCAGAGCAUCGUCCGGGUGCGUGGAUCCCAAUUGUAUAAGCAUGGUUGCUAAAGGUAUAUGGCUCAUUCAACGUGAUCCAGUGCUUCACUCGGUCACCAAAAAGUGAAAAACAAAGUUCUGCGUAGUCUUUAAAGUCAUCGCUGUGUGUACAUUUCAAACGCUUUUGUUAGAUAUAUAUAGAACGUACGUUUUAGUUAAACAAAUGAUCAAUAUUAUACAUAAGAUAAACUUUGUUGACUUACGCAAUACGAGGGCUUAAGAAACCACCAUAUGCAUCUUCUAAAGCUUGAGGAACAUCCCAGUGAAAGAGUGUCACAAAUGGUUGUAGGCCUAUAUAUAACAUUACCAGUAGAAAGAAGAUUAAAAGUUCGAUUCAGUUAAACUGUAAUUAUAUAUUAUGUAAUGGGCGGAUAUAUGAGAUUAGGUAGCUUUAUCACCAUGGAGAAGGAGUUCAUUGAUGAGAUUGUCGUAAUAUUCAAUUCCUUUCCUGUUAACACCCCCACUUAGCGUUCCAUCUAGUAAAUAGAACAAGAUAAUCAAAUUAGUUAAUGCCUAAUUAAUUCAGGUUAGUCCAUGAAGUAAUUGGUCCCAAAUCAAAUAUAUGAACGCUGAUGAUCAACAUUACUUGGUAACAAUCUGGACCACGAGAUAGAGAACCUAUAAGCAUCGAACUUCAUAUCCUUCAUAAUUGCUACAUCUUUCUGUAAUGACAAGAAAGAAAUACAUAAUACAAGAAAGAAGCUAAAUAUUAAUUGACCAUCUCAUGUUCAAUGUGCCCUUCAACUUCAAAGUAUGAAAGGUUUGGAGAAUUAAUAAUAUUAUUCCUUGAUAGAUAACCUUAUAGAGGUGGUAUUGAUCAAUGGCGACAUCUCCAUUGCUGCGAUCAGUGAUUUUUUCUGUAAAUAACCAUAGAAGUUUUUUUUAUUAUUUAAAGCAUAAAGAUGGUAGAAAUCAUACAGUACGAACUAUUAUGUCCAUACAUGUAUAGUCCAUAUCUUAACAUAUGCAUAUAUACUACAUGCCCAAUGGUAGUUGAUGAUGGUAUGCAGAAGACUAUACCUGGAUGGUUGUGGGUGAAGGUGUCCCAUAUGCUUGGUCCUCUACCAUCUUCGUUCCAUGCACCUUCUACCUGAAAUGUGCAUACAUACAUUUAAACUGAAGAUGUCAAUAUUCAUGCUUGAUUAUAUAUAUGCUAGUUUUCUGACAUUGAAAUAAAAUUAAACCUAAGUGAUUAUAUGAAGGGAAAUUAAAUGGCUAAGCUCUAGUAAAGACUGACCUGGUAAGAUGCUGAAGCUGCGCCAAAGACGAACCCUGGUUUAAGAGCAUCAAAUUUUCCCCUGUCAAGAGAGUUACAGACAAUGGGCCGAUAUGGCUUAGCAGCUUUGGUGUUUGUCAAUGCAAAGCCAGUGAGUAGCAACACAAACAAGAGCAAAGAUCCUAACUCAUGCAUCGCCAUAGUUAACUGGAGGGGGUUUGGUGAUCGAGAUAGCUAGGUUGGUUCUUCCCUGCAUAUUGCAUGGGGUUUAUAUAGAGGGGCUACGUACUACGUCUACAUAUGAAAAUAAUUGAUAAGCAUUUACUUACUAAAAUUUGAUAAACUCGGGCAGGCUUUAAAAAAGUGUGGACCACUUUAAAAGACCAAAGCAAAUACUUUUUGUAACAAUAAUAGUGUUGGGAUAAUACACUUAUACAUACAUACAUUAUAUAUAUAUAUAUAUAUAUAACUUGAAAUUUUGGUGGAUUGAUAUGCAAUAUAUACCAAGGAAUGGAUUUAAUUCUUCUAAACUAAAGUAGAUAGAAAUAUUCAAAAAAGGAAAAAAAUUAGAAGAAAAAUUAAAAAGUGGAGAAACGCACCUCAAGAUAAUAUUCGAUAUCAGACUUUUUUCCUUUAUACUGUUAAUCCAAUUGGGACCGUACUCCAAUAGCAAGCGGUGGCGAAGCAUGCAUGCAUGCAUGCAAAGGACCAGAAAUGUUCAAGUGUUGAUAAAGCCCUUCAACAAUACAAUAGAUUUUUCAAUGUGAUCGGUACACAAGGUGGAACAUUACGUAUCACUGUAAAAAUUAUAUGAUAUGUAUGUUAAAAAGUUAAUAACUUAAAAAAUGAAAUUUUCCACCACUUUUAUUAUAACACGUGAUGUACCACUUGUGUUCCCGUUAUAAUUAAGAAUUUCUCCAACAAUAUUCUGGAACGUAGCCAUCGAUCAUUCUCUUCGUGCCAAAUGUUUGCUAGAAUAUGUUAACACACUCAACACCCAGUUACCUUAACUCGCAAAGAACUAUAUAUGCCCAUGAUGAAUGCUUCCUUAAUCAAAUCACCCCACGAAUAAUUAAUAGUUUUAACCUUUCAUAUCAGUUUAGAAGUUUUAGAAUUGAUUGACAAAAAAAAAAGGUUUUAGAAUUGAAUUACCAGUAAUAUUUCUAAAUCUUAAACUGCAACUUGAAUAUUGAUUUUUUCCCAUUUCAAUUGAAUGCUUCGAUCCGUCAAAUGUGGCUUGGCUUUCUGUUCUUUAUAUUCCAAACUUAGGUCUGUAUAUGUUUUUUUUUUUUUUAUAAUCUUUAUCGUGUAAUAACUUAUGUGUUGUGAUUGGAAGUAAUUUUUUGUUGAUUGUUUUAGUAUUUUAUUCAUACCGUUUAUUUAGGAGAAGGAUUUGCAGAAAUCGGCAGUGUCUCAAAGCAAUCAUGCAAUUACAUGUAUAAAGUUAAAACGUGGCUUGCUGGGUUGAUUAGAAUACGUCAAUUUCAUUGUGAAGAUCUUUGCUGGUAACCACCAUAUGUUGACGUGUUAUUGUAGUAAAAACUGGAGUGCUUGAUUUACUCUGGAACGGAUCGACGGAGUGAGUAAGCAGAUUCACUAUUCCCGAGAGGUAGAAAAAAUGGUCUCACGGCCACUACUAGCAUAGCAUGUAAGUUGAAAAUCAUAGUACGCGUAACAAACUAUGAAUCUAUGAAUAUUAUUUAAUUAACUCAAAAUUAAAGAAAAGAUUGCUGAAAUAGCUACAAACUAAGGAAUAUAUUUGGUUGACUCACUUCUGAUAGAGUUACAAAAUCUGUUUAUAAUAAUUGAAACCCUAUAAAACCUAAUACUUGAAGUAUCUAAACUACCCAAUGAAUGAAAUAAAUAAAAAAUACUAAUAUUUUUCAACACCCCACAUCAAACUCAUGAUGCUAAUUAAACGAUAUGAGUUUGCCAACAAACAGAUGCGAAUGUAAACUCUGUUUGGCGAACAAUGAGGCCUGCAUAUUAUGUUUGGUGCUCUUCAACAAAUAGAUUUUGUAAGGGGGACAUACUUUGCAGCAUAUUGCCCAAAUAGGAGUAUAGAAAUAAAAACAUAUGAAUGCUCCCCCGUACUUAAUGAACGAGAUUCUUAUAUCACAAAUACAACAGCGAACAAACAUAAAAUCAUUUUGUCACCACGUGUGUGUAUAUAUAUAUAUAAUCUAGGGAGCUUUAAUAAAAAGGGCUUGGAUCAACAAAUAUUUAACCAAAAACCAUCCAAAAAUAUUAUUUAACCAAAAGGACUCAAAGUUUAAUAAAAAACCUUCUUCUCACCCUUCUCUGGCUUAAGCGGUGCAAGCUCCGCGCAGCACUUGGGUUUUUUCAACUUCUCCAACAAUGGCAACCCCUACAACAACAUCUUCGAUGUCGACUUUGAUGUCUUCGAAAACCAAGGGUUCCAGGAUCCUGAUGACAACCAUGUUGGUUUGGACAUCAUUCCCUUACCUCUAAUGCUUCGAGCACCGCAGGGUUUGUUUGUUGACUUUUUUUCUGACGGUUUUGUUGAUGGGUUUGACGGUGUAGGAGUCGAUCGUUCGCCUCAGAGCUUUGGGUUUGGCCAUGGCGGAGAUUCUAGAGGCUCAUCGCCCAAACCAGACACGCAGAAUUUGGAAUUUGGAAUUGGAAGAAGAAAUGUAGGAUACUUCGUUGAGGGGUUGGAUUGUAGAAUCCUAGGAUGGACGCAUCUACAGAGGACAAUAGCUCCUUUAUUAUAGAGGACUUUUUCUUCUAUAUAUUGACUGGGGUUUGUUCGUUGAUUUUUUUAGCAUGAAAUUGUUUCGACUCCUGAAACUGUGAGGUUGGACUUGAAAUUUCUAUUGUCUUGGUUUCCCACUUGGUGCAGUUUGUUGAGUCACUCAUCCCUUAACAUUGUUGAACUAGGCAAAAAAAAGAACCAAAACAUAAAACUGUUUUUAGAGAACCCAAAACAUAAAACUGUUUCUGGAAAAAAAAUCAGAUACAGUGUUUGUUUUGUCUGUGCACAAACAAAUAUUGUAUCUGGAAAGAAAAGAACCAAAAUCCAGAAACAGUGACUUAAAUUUCAGAAACAGUGACUUAAAUUCCAAAAACAGUCUAUGUUUUAACCUUUGACUGUUUAUUUUCUUUCAUGCAUCAGUUGAUUAUAUUUAAGAAACAAGAUGCUUAAUUUGCUUUGAAUCCAAAAACAGUGAAUUUCACUAUUUCUUUUGUAGCUUACAUUUAAGAAACAAUGUGUCUAUUUCAUUUGGAUCCAGAAACAGUGAUUUAGAUUCCAAAAACAGUAACUUAGGUUCCAAAAACAGUGACUUAGAUUUCAGAAACAGUAACUUAGGUUCCAGAAACAAUGACUUAGAUUCCAGAAACAAUGUUACUUAAAAUCCAGAGACAAUUUAUUUUUACAAUCUAGAAACAGUGACCCGUCGUUAUUAUUGAAUAGCAUGCAGAUCUCAAAUUUAUUUUCUAGAGAAACAAACGAUAAACUCCACUAAUGAAGAAAAAAUGAAAAACAGUACCUCGAAUACACUAUGAAUAAUAACGACGAUCACAUUUCAACGAAAUAAUACAAAAUAUAAAUUAAAUAGCAUGAGGAUCUAUAUUUUUGUUUCAAAAAAUAAAAAAGAAGGUCUGCAAAACAACGAUGAACUCCAUUAACAACGAAAAUCUGGAACUCAACCUAAAAAAGUUAAGGGUAAAAUGGACAAAUCAUAAUUUAUUAUAGUUGUGCCAUUUUUAGUUAGACUACAUUAAUAUGAGAAUUGUACUAAUCAUUAAACAAAACUUAUAACAUGAUUUUUUAUUAAAACUAAAACUUUUCAAGCCUUUUUUAUAAGUUUUCCUUAAAAUGUAACAACUAUCAUUAGAGUGGUCACCAAUUCAAGCACUUGAACGGUUGUUGUGAUGGACAAUAACAACAUACUCUAUAUACAGGCCCAACAACAUCAACCCUUAUCAUGUCACCCUUAUCGGCCCCAAUAACAACAAAUACUUUUUCUCAACAAAACCUUUUCUUAUCCCUUUUCUGUUUUUUCUUUUGUGCGAACGUAUGGAGUGGACUCAAUGCAGAUAAUGUUGAAAUACAGUAGUGGGUACAAAUGAGGUGUGGCAACAUGCCUGGUGGGUGUGACAACGCAACAACGAAUUCAUGGAUUCAUAAGGUCACGAUGUUGGUGGUCAGAUCGCGAUACAUGUGUGGGUUUGGUCAGUAACAAUGACUAAAGUGGUUUGAUGCGAUUUCGUUAUGUGGUAUAUCAACAAGCGGUAAUGGUAACGUUCGGAAUGGAUUUGUAUCAACGGUCAGUGGGUUCUAGGCCGCGUGACAUAGUUGGUGACAGAUCUAGUACGAGUGCGGGUCAACAUUGCAACAACAUCAUACCAGAGCACAGUACCGACAAUGAGUUCGUUGAUCAGCGGAGGGUCGAGUGCAAUAUAUACCUUAGAAAACCUAAUACUUAAAUUAACUAAAAUACCGUAACAAUAAAAUUACCUAAUAUGAUAAUAUUCUCCAAAAAUGUUUCUCUUACUAUCUAUUUGUAUUAUUUCUCUAAUAGAGAUGGACCCACAUAUGUUCGCAAGCCUUACCUCUAUUAGAUAGAUGAUACAAAUGAUGAUACAAAUAGAUGGUAAGUGUACCAUCAACAUUGUAUUCUUGAAACCCUAUCGGGACUUGAGCAACUUUAAUAUUAUGGCUAAUUACAUUUUGCACCUUCCAUGUUAAUGAGCCAAAUAUAUCUUGUACAACUGUUAAAUAGUUAGUUACACGUGUAUAAACUUAGUUGUAGUUGUUAGGGUCUCAAUUGUAAUUAAAAACACAUGUAUGUGUGUGUGUGUGUGUGUAUUGAACUUAUUACAUUGAGUGAAAGAAAGAUAUUUUGCAAGCUGAGCUUCUUUACAUGCUAAGUUACUUUACAGGUUUGAUGUGAUUUUCAAAAUUGACCAUGAGGUUUCAACUUUCUCAUAUUUUCAUGAUUUUUAAAAUUGUAUUAAAUUCAGCGAACUGUUAUUAGUACUUCAAAAAUCUCAUUAUACACUCAUCAUAAGUGUUGUUUUCUUUCUAAUUAUAGAAAAUUUGGAGUGCCAAAUGAGAUUUUUGAAGUGGUAAUAGCAAUUUCCUAAAUUUUAAAUUUAUACCUUUUCUCUCUUUGAUUGUCUAAUCCUUCAUAAAAUUAAUAUUUUUUUUUUUUUUGCUAACUUGGCAUGCAAAUGUAUCUUACAAGUUAGCCCAUACAAUAAAUUUGACCAAGUGCACAAAUUAAUACAAUUUCACUAUCUUAGAGUGUAAUAUGUGAGAGUUACAAUUUAUUGAUCUAUUUUGAAGAUGAGCCCAUACAUGGAGAGUGUAAAAUGUAGAUAUCCCUUAUUAUUAAGACAUAAAUGAUGUACCAGAAAUAGAAAUUUCUUCUCUUUUUCCUUUUUUAAAGCAUCCAAACCCCACCGCAAGUCACAAAGUCACAAUCCUAGCCGCUUACACAAGCCCAGAAAAAGAAAGGAUGGGAUUCCAUUUUUUCAUGACAGCUUUGGUGAGGACUACGACUCAUCAACUUUAUAAAAAGAGUCUUUACCAGGAAAAAAAAAGGACAAGGGAAAUAGAGGCUGACCUAAAAAAAAGGGAAAGAGAGGGCCUCAGCUUCUUUGCAUGCAUUUCACACAUGAAGUGAUAGAACUGACAUGCACGUUGCAGAAAAAUGUGUGGUGGCUAGUGAUUAGGGGCUCGUACGUGGUGACUCGAAUGGAGAAGGAGGCAGAUUCUUUGCUCUUCUAUUUUUCGUAUUUUUUCAUGCUCUCAUGUUUUAUGUGGUCACAAUUAAGCUACAUCUAUUACUCUUAUAAGGUUAUACAAUUAAAACACAAUAUGAAGGAGUGACUGACCUGAUUCUAACGAUGGUCAUGGAUAUCAAACACGAAAACAAACAGAGUACGGCAACACCAAGAUCUUCUAUAAACUUCUAGCCGAAUACAACUACUCUAUGGGAAGCAUUAUGUUGUGUUCUAGGGCUUAUAGGGACCGGUGUUUUAUAUAGGCUAAAAGCUAGGGUUUCCAUCUAUAAAGGAAACCUAAAUUUUACUUCUUAGCCUCCAAGUCAAGUAUCAUAAUCAUAUUCAAUUAAGGAUUCCAUCAAUCCUAUUUCCAAUAUAAGACACCUUAUAUAGGAUUGAUAUCUUUAAGAGAUCAAAUCACAAUCAACAUUAUUCUCCAAUAUUACAUUCCUAUUACAUGUAGUAGGCCACUUAAAUGUCGAUUUAUAUUGGAUAAAUCCAACAUUCUCCCACUUGGUCUACAAAAUGUAAUAUUCAUUUUUAUACUUGAGAUUGGAGACUAAUGUCACUUUAGUGGCCAUGUAACAGUGAUUACAUCUCGUCCUUAAUGCAAUUUCUGUCAAAUGCAUUUCUUAACAUGAAACUAACAAGGUUGUAGGGUUGACACAACCCAGAACCUUCAUAAUCACACAUGCUAAGAUCCUCAUUCACAUGAAACACAAAUUAUGAUCAAGAGAUGAAACUUUAAAUUAAAUUUUAAAUUAACCAAAAUGUCUUACUUUAUAUCAUCUCAGGUCCACCUUAUUGUAACUCACAAGUUACACUUUAUACUUCUUCGAAGCCUUAAAUCUGCCAAUGCAGAUAUCCUUCAUCUAAUGAAGCCACCAUAACCUGCAAGUGUGAAUACAUUUCCAAAACAAUCAUGCAUCACUUUCAUUAGAUCAGUAAUAAUACAAACAAUGUUUGUAGCCAAUGGACACAACUAAAAGUACCAAAUAGGCACAUGUCCAAGUAAAAUAUCCCAAAAACUUCAUAAAACAAAUUAAUUCAACACUUGUGAGCAAGAUGAAUUAAUAUGUUUUUGACACUGAUCUAUGCACCAUACCAGUUUCAUAGUGAUUUCCAACACCUGCGGGCAAGAUGGAAAUCCUCACAACUGAGGUAGUGCAUAAACCAUGUCAUGCCAUUUAAUAUGCAAUUUGAUAACAACUUGCUAUCUAAUAUAUAUUUCAUCAGAUAAUUGACUAGCACACGAAAAAUGUGAUUUAAUGAAUCUAACUGGAGAUUAAAAUGAAUACAUGGAUUCUAUACGUACCUUAUAGGUCAUCUGUAAAUGUAAGGCAUUACUAACACGAAACUCAAACUCCCACUGAUCUGCAACAUCAUCACUUAAUUUGCAAAUCAAUACUUUAAUCAUAUUUUUGAAAAUAUGCCUUUGGGAAUAGCCUUACUUAGUCAAUGAAUGCAUAUUACCUCAAUGAAAGGUACAAUUAAGCACGAAAGCAUUCAUCACUGUUACACAAAAACAUGCAUCCAACAACCAUCUUAUAUGUAUUAAUAAGUCCACAUUUAUCCUAAGUCCUUAUAAGCCUCAAAACGAAUGAUCAACCAAGAAAUCCAAAUGAUUUCAAGUAACAGAAAAAUGUACGCAUAUACUAAGUAGUCAUUCGUGCAACUUAAACAUAUUAUUAUUAUUCGAGUAACACAAAUUCAUGGAAGAUAGAAUAACGCUUUAAUAAAUUCAUGCAAAUCCGCUUAAUGCUCAAAAACUCCCACUAAGUUUUCAGAGUUUAUACUUGCAAAUAAGUUAAUGAGUGUGAAGCCCAAUUUUCGUUCACUAAUUCUCCCACUUGGGCAAACACUCAUUAAUAUAUUCUUUCAGAGAUGUACCUAAAGAAAAUUGCUCUAUAUUUUAGACAUAAUAAAAUAGACAUCUCAACCAACAUAAAGUUGGCAAACAGAAUUUCAGCAACGAGUUACACUUACUUUAGCAUUAAUCAUAAUUAAUUUAUAAGCUUGAUUGCUACCAAAUUUAUACUGAUCAAAAUAGACAUACUAAUAUUCAUAAAAUAAAAAUAUAGAGACGUUUUGGAUCAAAAUAAUAGUCUAAAGUCACGUCUCAAAAAGACCAACACAAUCUGCCAAGAACUGUCUAUAAGAGCAUGGAUUACUAGUGAAUUCACCAUAAUUAAAAUACAUGGCAGAAAAUUACAAAACUUUUCAGACACAUAGUAGACAUCUAUAUGUUGAACAUAUCCAAAAUUCAGAUCAUUUGGUGACCAUUAGACGUGUCAUUCACCCGAUUUAAACCAAGACACGCAAUCUGCCAGAAACAAUUAUGUGCAUCUAUCAUGAAUUUAUGCAUCCAUAACAAAUUCAAUUUCAUAUCAUUUCAAUUUCGAUGUCCAAAGGAAACUUUAGUAGUCAAAUUUCAUCUUCUAAACCGACAUCAUAAUUCAAAUUGAAAAGAUUUACAAGCAUAAGACUUAAACAAUGCGUACCUUAGCAAUCCUUGAUUAACCUUCAUGGGUCCAAUACUUUGCAUCAACAAGUCUCAUGAAGAGAAACAAAAUAUGUCAUGAUGCAACCGAUUUCCAUGCCUUCAACCCACAACCUUUUAUGGGGCUCAUUGUGGAAAUAUUUGUCACCAAUGGCAUGGAACUUUAUCCCAAUAAACUUCACGAAACUAAAUUAAUUUACACCUGUAGGCAAGAAAAUUAACUAGUUUCUAGUACUAGAUUUUAUGUCACAAAAGUACCUUCAUGAAAAACUUCAACACAUGUAGGCAAGAUGAAGAUUUUCACAACUUCGGUGAAAUAAAACUCAUACUAUGCCAUCUGAAUUAAACUAAAAGAAGUAAUCCACACUUGUAGGCAAGAAGAUUAUCCCUUUUGUUCUAAUUAAGAUGCAAAGAUGACCGAAGUAACUAAAAAACGUAGUCCCAUCGUCAACUAAACCGUUGCAUCUUGCUUAGUUGAAAAGGCAUUGGUCAACUCCGUCCUAAAAUAAUACAAGAAGUCACAUGGAUUAAUUAAUUGUAAGUGACAAAAAUAGGAUAACAUGAUUCGAGCUUCGAGUCUUGCCAACAAAUGACACUAAUUCCUUCAUGACUCCCUUUGAUAUUAAAUUAAUCCCAGAAACCUGACAGCAUACUUGAAGGAGAUUAAUCACAUAUAGAACAAGUUUUCACCACAAGAAUGUCAAUACUUAUCAUUACAGAGUCAAUUAGAAAUACUUUAUGUAAUGUGAGAGAACAAUACAUUCCUUUAAUUUAAAAGCUAAGUCACUCAAAUGUUUGCUUAAGUCAAAACAGGUUCCUUUUCUUUUGUACCUUUCUUUCCGUAGUACAAGGCUCCUAAAACAUUAGCAUCAAAAUCGUGCAUUAGCCUUGUAAAUACCAAAUUAAAUAAAAGGAACCAAAAUUAUUUUCUUCCAUAGAAAACAUUUCCAAUAUAUGCCCUACAUUAGCCUUGAAAAGUUUCUUUUCUUCUCCCCUUAUGGCAUAUAAAAAUUACUAAUCAAAGCACUGUUUAAAUUCUUUAGGCAUAGGAAAAACCACAAACAAUAAUACAUGUUUGAAAAUUCAUGCUUGUCAAUUAAGCCACAUACUUUGAAUGGAUUACAUACCUCAUGUCUUCAUAUGUUCACCACUUCUUUGUAAACAUAUAUAUAAUCACAUGACCAACCAAAAUUCUCAUAUAAGCAUAAAAAUACAAAUGAGAACUGUCACAUAACUACUACAAACCUUAUUCAUUUGUAUAAUACCCUUGUUCUUGUCACUGGAUGCUUUCUGUCAUUCUCAGUCAAUCCACAAAUUAUACAUCAAUUUUCAUAGUUAACUAGUCAUGUAUAAUUUAAAUGACUAUUGAGAUAAGAAAGCAAAUUGUAGACAAACCUGAUUGAUUAGUCAUGCAUAUUUCUUGUGCUAUUAAUGGCAUAAAAGUUCAUUCUCAUCUUGUGAAAAUUAGUGGAAACAAAACUACAAUUCACUAUAGUCCAAAACCCAUGACAAUAUUGAAAAUAUGUAAUCUCAUGCUCGAACCAAUUUAGCCAUACAAGCAACACUAUACACGCCAUUUGCUUAACAAAUGUUGCCAAAAUCUGUAUGACUUACUUUCAUGUAUAGGAAUUUUAUCAAAUUCAUUAACAUACAUGUAUAUAGUUGACACGUAUAAAACUUAGCGUAUGCUUCCCUGCAACACUAUUGUAAUAUAUGUUAUUACAAUCAUAGGCAUAACAUAUCCCAAUAGUAUUGAUAAAUUAUAGGAUAUGACUAAUUAUGUCUCCUACAAUCAGAAAGACGUCACGACAUGGUUGGAUUUUGCAGGAACAAUAUAACACUUCAUGAAUCCAACAUAACCAUUCCUUAUAUAAUUUAUCAUGAAGACCAAAAGGAAAGAUCAUACCAGAAUUUCAUAUACCGAUGUAAUACGAACCUCUUCAUUGGGCUUGUUCCACUGAGGAAUCUUAAGAAAUUCUCCAAUGCAAGGUUAGAACAAAUGUAAAUACAUAUACAUGCUAUGCGAACUGUAGAUACAUAAUUGGCUUUAGAAAAUUAUAUAUACUUGCUUGAUCCAACAAUUGCUGGCAUUUAUGCAAUUGUUUCUUGUCACAUUAACGUAUCACUCGUAGCAAUUCAUAUAGAAUACAAUUCAUGGAAAAUAAUAUUAGUUCUUAUUCAAUAAGCUUAUGCCCAUUUAGAUACGUAUUGCCAAAAUAUAUAAUAAUUGGAUCCAUAUUCAUGACAUACUUAACCGAUACAUGGUAAUCAAUGUAUGUACAUACUCUACAAUAAUUAGCACAUCACUCAUGCAAUUAUAUCUUUAUCUUAUUACCAAUUUAAGCUUUGAGGGAUCAACCCAAAUAUAUAUCAACCAAAAUACCAUAAACCAUUAUGGAAAUCAAAGUCAAUGAAACAAACCAUUUUGCUUUGGUAGAAGACUUUGCUCUGCUUGCUAAUCGGAGGGACCUCUUCAGUAAGGUCAGAACAAAUAUAGCAUGCUUACAAAAAUUGAGAUCAUCAGUGGCACAUGGUAAAUCAAUUCAACCAAAACACUAGCAUGAAGAUUGAAAAAGAACAAAACUGUUAUUCUUCUUAGUGCCAUGGUUUCCACUGUAAAAUACAUAAUAUAAUACCACGCCUUACAUAUAUGCUUCUUUACGUUCCUAUUUGAUUAUAGGAUUCCAAUUCCUAUAUGGUUUUUAAAUUUCAUGCUUCAAUACUAUAAGAAUAUUAUAUAAAUUCUAUGCUUCAAUUCCAUAAUUUAAUUCAUGCUUGAUCAAAAGCACCUCUAAGCGUAGUUCAAUUUCCAAUUGGCAAGCAAAACUAUGUGGUUAUAUAUAAUACACCGCAUACAAUAUUAUGGGUUCGUGCUAUAAUCAGGCAACUUGUCUUGCUGAUAAUAAUCAAGGUAUCAAUUAGCAUAGUUCUUAAUAAAUUUCCCUUGACUGCAACCAUAAUAUUAGUGAAAAAUAUUCUUGAUUAAAACUGAAUAAUUAUGUAACCUGAUCAUAAUUAACAAUUGAACUUAUUCAAAUCGCAUGGUGAUGUUGCCGAGUAUAUGCAAUGAGAAUUUGGAUUAAACACGCAGUUCAAGAGAAUAUUAUAUAAUCCAACAUUAAACCUAAUAGGUUUUAAUUAUAUAAUCAGUGGCUCUGAUACCAACUGUUAGUCUUAUAAGGUUAUACAAUUAAAACACAAUAUGAAAGAGUGAUUGACCUGAUUCUAACGGUGGUCAUGGAUAUCAAACACGAAAGCAAACAGAGCACGGCAACACCAAGAUCUUCUAUAAACUUCUAGCCGAAUACAACUACUCUAUGAGAAGCAUUAUGUUGUGUUCUAGGGCUUAUGGGGACCGGUGUUUUAUAUAGGCUAAAAGCUAGGGUUUCCAUCCAUAAAGGAAACCUAAACUUUACUUCUUAGCCUCCAAGUCAAGUAUCAUAAUCAUAUUCAAUUAAGGAUUCUAUCAAUCCUAUUUCCAAUAUAAGACACCUUAUAUAGGAUUAAUAUCUUUAAGAGAUCAAAUCACAAUCAACAUUAUUCUCAAAUAUUACAUUCCUAUUACAUGUAGUAGACCACUUAAAGGUCGAUUUAUAUUGGAUAAAUCCAACAACAUCAAUAUUUUAUAUUAUUUUUUUAUAGAGAUAAUAUGACAAAAAGAAAUAGUAAUAUAAAAAGUUGACAUGGCUUAACCGUGAUCACACAAACAGGAUGGCACGAAAAAUGAGAGAACAGAGAAUCUGCCUCCAAUGGAGAAAAGGGUUCAGUUUGCUAGAACAGGGAAGACUUUGGUUGUGGAUUGAUUAUCCAAUCUAAGGGCAUCUAGUCUUUUUAUGAGUGAACACAAGAAAAAAAUAAAAUUACAAAAAUGAACUCCUAUGAAGCUCCAGGGAGAUUAAUCCUACCGAUUGGGGUCGGCCCUUCCCUACUACAAAUCCUGCUUGCUUCUUUUCAUUUUUGCCUAAAACCUUGACUUCACCAUAAGCGUCUGUACCGUAUUUACAAAGUCCUGAACAGCAUUAAAACUAGGAAGUUUUAACGAAACACUUCCGAUACUAUUCACUUUUAACGAAAAACCACAUUUUUACCUUUUCCUGAUACUAUUUACUACACAUUUAUUUGUCAUUUUUCAUUAAAACUAAAAAAAAUUUGGACUGUUUGUUAGUUUUUCUUUAAAACUAACGGUAUGCCGCAAAAAGCUCACCUGCCAUGCCGAAACAACGCCAAUACAAGCAGUCGUAAGCAAUUGUAUUCCGACAUAUACCUAAAAAGUAAAAACCCUGUAAUAUAAGGACAUAGAAUCUACAAUUGACCAUCUACGCCUGCUGUUUCUACCCAGACGACAUCCAUUUUUUUGGCCUUACCCAAUGCAAUUCAAGUAUAGAGUCUCUGGCAUUGAUGCCUAUUUUGUAAAAGCAUGGCAAAUCCUUGCAUCUGCAUCAUAUCCCAUUGUAGAAAAAGUUGCACGCCUCUCUGCGUUUGGGGACAAUUUGGUUGUUUUUCAAUCUCACAUGUGAGACUAACAAGGGCCAUAAACAUAGCACAACAGUGAUGGUAUAUCCACCAUGCAUGGACGAAUAUCACUUCCACUUAUUCUCAGUAUGUAUUCUCGCAGUGCCAAACCAGUGUAGAGGAAUAACAUUGUAAGCCUGAAGUGGAAACGUUGGCAAACAUCCAUCCCAAAUCGAAGAUCUUAGUAUACGUAGUGUUGCUGGGAAAAGAAGGAAUAGCAGCGCAGUUCAUCUCUGUAAGCGUUGUAUUCCUCUUUAACCUUGAGUUGGAUAUCUUUGAUAGAGGAACGCACGUUUAUGGGACCGAGAAAGAACCUCACAAAACUCCCUCCCUGAGAUUUCCCAGGAAGAAACGAAGCAGCAACUCAAGAUAGAGUAAUGAUAGGGUGACUGAAUUUCUAGAUUAAAUUUUAGAAACUAAAGGACAUGGAAAUUGAUGAUUGGUUUAUUACUUAGGCGUUGAUUAAUGUGCUCAAUCUUAUUGGUAACACAUCAUUUAGUUUGCAAAUGUAAUCUAAAAAUUUAAUCUCUCUAACAUUACCUAUUAUUAGAUAUGAGAUUUUUUUUUCCUUCUUUAUUGUUAAUCUAAUAGGGACCAUACUCAACUAGCAAGCAGUGCGAAACACGCAUGCAUGCAUGCAAGGGACCAGAAACGUUCAAGUAUUUCAAUGCAUGUUAUAUAUAAUUAGAUAAAGUCUUUCAACAAUAUUUUGGAACGUAGCCAUUGAUUCUCUUCUGGCCGCCCAAAUAUUUGCUAGAAUAUGUUAAAACACUCAACACCCUGUUAUCUUAACUCGCAAAGAAUGGUAUGUGGCCGUGAUGAAUGCUUUCUUAAUCAAAUCACCUUACGAAAAAUUAAUAGUUUUAACCUUUCCAGUUCAGUUUAGAAGUUUUAGAAUUGAUUGAAAGAAAAAAAAAUUUAGAAUUGAAUUACGCGUAAUAUUUUCCAAAUUUUAAACUGCAACUUGAAUAUUGAAUGCUUCUUGGAGGAAACAUUUUAAGUAUUUUUUCAAGAUUUACUUGCAUUUUCACUAAGGAUUGGUUUGAAAAAAAACUUUCAUCAAAAUCAUUUUCAGUCAUUUUAGAAACACUUUCAGAUAAUUCACGUGUUCUUACUGAUAAGUAGAUGUGUAAAUUCUAAUUAUUCUUUCCUAUAUGGACUUGUAUUGGGAAAGAAGGAUUUCCUCUCCCUCUUAUUACUAUAAAUAAAUAAAGUCACUACAUAUGAGGGAAUAAGACAUAAUCCCCACGAUUCUACAAAUACAUCUCUCUCUACAAUCUCUCCUUGAUGUCGUCCCUCUUUCCUUAGUCAAAUAAAAUAGGCUACAACAUAUUUUUAUUUCUGAAAACUCUAUAGGCUUAUUAAUUCCGCAGUUUUGCACUGGCGUUUAAAGCCCAAAAACAUUAACUAGCAAAGCCCAAAUAAAAUACCCUGGCCCAACGGAACCGGACUAUAUUGGAAGUGAAUUUGUUUGGUUUCUCUAACCAUUUCUGCUGAGAAUCGAACCAAACCCAUGAGGGACUCCGACUCGGUUUGCGACUCUGGCCCAACGGAACCGGACUAUAUUGGAAGUGAAUUUGUUAGGUUUCUCUAACCGUUUCUGCUGAGAAUCAGAAUCGAACCAAACCCAUGAGGGACUCCGACUCGGUAUGCGACUUUUGGGUGAACUGAGUCGAACCGCAUCGUACCCACCCCGUAACGCGUAAGCAACACACAUCGACUUGGCUUCCAAACUAAAUCUUCCAUUGUUUACUGGUAAAAUAGAUUGAUCCCAAGGUAAUCAUUAAACAUUAACCUAAACCGUAUCCAUUCAGGCAAAAUAGAUUGAUACAUCUUUUAAGCUGCCAUCCAAACUUUGCAAUGCAACAGAAACAGCGGACAUUUUCGUGCGAACCAACGCUUCAAUCGCCAUGUUGAAACUGCAUUUUGAACAAGCACCCAAAACAAAUUGAACCAAAAUUCUAGGAUACUCGAGGUGCUCUAAUCGUUAAAUCUUUAAUUCCAAUGAAGGGGAAAUCAAAGGGGUUUUUUGUACCCUCAAUCUGUGGAUUCUGUACAAAUAAAUGAACAAAAACUGCAUGCAGCAUAAUCCCUCCCAAGAUACACUAAGAACAGUUCAAACGAAGUUCAAUAUUCAUAGCAAGUGAAGAGCAAAACAGAGAUGGAAUGGCGUUCGUGAUCAUCGCAAUGCAGUUUUGACAAAACACGAACACAAUUGGAGAAUCAUACACCUAGAGUUUGAUAGUAUUCGAUGACUAAAAACCCUCUAUUCGAAGGUUGAUUUCUUCUUCGAAAGAACGAGCUCUGAAUCUCUGAAAGAGAAGUAACCCCAAGGAUUAUAUGAUUGGGCAUUUCAUCAAACAAGCUUCGCAAUUGAAAACCCCACAAGAUAUGUAUAAGCACCAAGAAUUAUAUGAACCACAAUCGUAUUUCAUUUCCUACCAAGAUAAAGAUCGAGUUCCAAAUCAACGUAAAUUCGAAAAAAAAAAUUGAAAGUAAAAUACACAUUUACUAAUUAAAACCCUAACCCUAGACCCAUACGACUUGAUUUCAAGUACCAGACAUUGAAACCCACAAACCCUAACCCUUCAAGAGCUGGUGAACUUAGUCACGGCCUUGGUCCCUUCCGAAACAGCGUGCUUGGCGAGCUCACCAGGGAGCACGAGCCUCACGGCGGUCUGGAUUUCCCGGGAAGUGAUCGUCGGUUUCUUGUUGUACCUCGCGAGCCUGGACGACUCCUGGGCGAGCUUCUCGAAGAUGUCGUUGAUGAAGCUGUUCAUGAUUCCCAUGGCCUUGCUGGAGAUCCCGAUGUCAGGGUGGACCUGCUUCAGCACCUUGAAGAUGUAGAUCUUGUAGGUCUCCACGCUCUUCUUCGAUCUCUUCUUCUUCUUGUCUCCGGCGGCCGCUCCGGCCUCCUUCGGGAGCUUCUUUCCGGCCUUGGGCUUUUUCUCGGCGGGGGCUUUCUCCGCCACGGCGGACUUCUUCUCCUCUGCUGGCUUCUUCUCGGCGGGCCUUCUCGGCUUUGGGCGCCAUUGUUAGAGUUGGGUGAGAGAAAAGUUGGGGGAUUUGGGGAUUUUUCGAUUUGGAUUGAAAGACUCGGAGAGUAGGAUGUUUCGUGAUGGACUUAAAGAUGAGGAGAAUGUGUUUUUAUAUAAUGGGGAGCGGUUGGAUUCCAUUGGCUAAAUUGGUUUGACGAGGAUCGCUGUCUGGGAUGUGGUUUUGGCCGUGGAUUGGGUUUGGGAAAGUUCAAACAUUGACGGUUGCGAUGUGUUAAGCUGGUUCAAGCGGAUUGGUGCCCUGAUCGGUUAGUUUAAGUGGAAUUGGACGGUGGAUAGUUUUUGUAUGAAACUGAGAACGGACGGUUGAGAUGAGGGACUGAUCGAUGACAUCAUCUGGGUGUAGUUCUUUUUACGAAGGAUAUGCAAAUUAGAAAUAUCAGAUAGUAAAACUUGGGUGAACUUGAUACAAUAUUUUACAACAAAAGAUAAUAAAAGAAUUGAUUCUUACCAAUUGUGAACAUGGUUUAUAUCCCCAAGUAGAUUGGAAACCUUAAAACCAUUGUAGAAGAGAAAUGCGUACAAAAUUUUCUUAAAGUUGAACUUUUUUAUGAAUUAUGCCCUUCAUGUUUUUUGUACAAUAUUUUAUAAUAUUGGCGAUACGAAAAUUGAUUUUAUAGUAUGAGAUGACAGAGAUUCCAUGAAAAUGCCCACUUUAAAAGAAUAUUCUUAACAUUUCUCGAUUCUGAAAGAUUGUAUUAAGAUUAAAGCACUUCCACCGUGCUUAAUUGCCCUAUGGAUAGGCUCCAAAUCCAUCGCAAUCCACCCCCUCUCCCCCCCCCCCAAAACUCCUUUAGCCCACCUUCGGCAACUAAGCAAAGAGGAGCCAACCAAGAGGUCAGGCAAAAAUCCAAGGCCCAAGGGCCUGGAUAGAUGUGACGUCAGACAUGUUCUAAAAAAAUUUGCGUCAAGCGUGUGGGCAACACACGCAAGUGGGCGCAUCUCCGACAUAUUUUCAAACGGAGGGCCCCACAUGUCAACCCCACUCAAUUACCAUUGAAUCUGGACCAUUUGAUUUCUAAAUUGUCCACGUUUUUUGGCUUAAAAAAUUAGAAAUGUAACGGUGGGCCACGUGUCACAAUCUGGACUAUUAGAUUUCAAUUUUUUGGUAAUCCAACGGUCUAGAUUAAUUAAGUUAAUAAAAAUUUGAAAAAUAAUUAAAAAUCUGAAAAAAUAUCAAUAAUUUUUAUAAUUUAUAAUUUUUUUUUUAUAAAUACCUUGCCAUUUUCUCCCACUUUACACCAUAUUUCAAUAUUUCAACGAUUCUAGACAAGUAAGGACACAUCGCAAAACGGAAUUGAUUAAAAAUCUUAUCGAAAUCUAUCUAUAAAAAAUGUACUUUCGGAUAAUAACACGUAGCUUAACGAGAUCGGUUAAAACUCCUAUCAGAAAUUAAAAAUAAAAUUAUUUUUUAUUAUUUUAUAAAAUAAAAAAUACUAAUAUUUUAAUACAAAUUGUUUAAGCUAUUCAGUAUUGUGGUGGAGAUGCAAUAAAUAAUUAUUGUUCAUUAAAGUUGUUACUAUUCACUAAGAGAUUGAAUUGCCUAUGGCCAAGGAGGCCCUUUACAAUUGCUUUUAGGAAGCUUCCAAAGAAUAUUUAACCUUAAAAGAUGCUUUCUGUACUGUACUGAGUGAGUGUAUAUGGUUGCUCAAAUCUGAAUGAGAUUCCAGCAGAGUUGGGGAAGAUGGAAUCUCUAAUAGGGCUUAAUUUUGCUGAAAUUCCAAUAUCUCAAAUACUCAUGAACACCGCUGGGAUGGUCGAAUCAUUCAUGAGGAGAAAUCCAGAAAAUAUUUGGGUCUUUCGGAUGAUGCUUUUCCGAAAGAUUUUGCUAGGCCAAUAAGAUCGACAAGCAUCCCGUCCAGGUCUCUCUCUCUCUCUCACACACUUACAUUUCUUCCUGGGAACGUGCUGCCUUGUCAGUUCAGCCAUAAAAGUAAAGGCCCUUCAUAUCUUGUACUGUGCCAUCACUUCAGGUCUCCGGAUUGGAGGCUUGAACGUACUCUCUCUGUAUAUACAAACAUUGCUCAUUACGAAUGUACUACUAACAACGAUAGUAAAGAUGUUGGGGUUUGCAGCCCAUUGAAUCCAAUAAUGGCUGGCGUUGUUAAUAAGUGAACAAAUCUGAAGUGGAUCUAUGAACCAUCAUGCCUCUGCUUUCCAGAUAGGGGAGAAGCAUGGUAUGCUUCAGCCACUGGAGUUUGGGGAAUCAAUUGAGAGAUGGCAACGAAGUGAAAGUUCCCGAUUUCUGAGAUCCUGGUUCCGGGUAAAGGAGGGGCAUUCAGCUAAUUGUGCACGAGGAAGAAAAUAAUAUGUGCAGUACCCAACGAGAAACAACUGAUCCUUGUUUUUCCGAUCAUUUUUGGACAUUUGGCGUGAUAGGAGUUGAUGCCAAGAACAUACUUCGUCUCCCAUGGACAAAAGGAGAAAGAAAACGUUCAGGGAUUGCAUCAUUCGGUUUUGUUCAAUGACAUAUUGGGGAACUCUACUCAAGAGAAAGAAAGAGAUGUUGGAAACUAAUGUGUUUGUAGUACGUAUUAAUUUCCAUGCAACUGUCAAUGCAGGAAGUUCAUUGUAUAACAAGUAUCCCAGAUUACAUUUAUUCAACUAUGUGCGGGACUUGGAGUAGUCAUGUUUUGGUUGAAAAUGCAAUCAGCUAUUUCAGAUUUUGUCUCUGCAGCAGCAAUGGCAGGUACGAACAUCAAUUUCAAUCUGCUAGUUUGGUUGGUUCGUGUUUUACGAUCCAAAUCUAUAGAAAACUUGCAAAGCCAAUGACAUAUUGGUGGCAAGGAUGAGGAUUACUAGUGUCUUAUUUCAGAUCAUUGCCUCUGAGUACGCGUCUUGCAAAAUUUAGGGCACCAGCGAAACUGAAACCGAGUUUGAGCCAACCGAUCGAAUCAAUGUGUAGACUGAAAUUUUAACUCCCCGUCCAAAACUAACUGAUUUGAUUAUAAGUUCAUUCCAUACCGACCGAACCAGACCGGAAUAGGGUUAUUAUAUACAUUCUAAUAUGAAAGGGGGUCAUUCGAAUUCGAGCGUAUCUAAAUAGGUGAAAUUACAAAAUUAAACACUGAGUUGCCGCCCAAAUUAAUUGGUGGCGCCAUUGAAAUAGCGUCUAAAAUCCCUAUUUUCCUUUGAUAUUCUACACAUCUGCAUAAUUCUCAUUUCUUUAUUUAGGCAAUGAAAACUUGAGCACAAGAAACAAUAAUCGAUAGACUGCUAAUGAUAUUGAAAUCGGAUUCAUGACAACAAAAGAUUUUGCCGAAAACCAGGUAAAUUUUUCAAACGCCAUAAGGACAAAAUCAAAUCGGGCUAAAGGGGUCUAACCACAUCAAUGUAAAACUCAAGCAAAUGCAAAUAUUCAACAAAUUUAUGUUACUCAAAUCCUGAUUUUCAAUUUAAAACAUUAAAGUAAGGAAGUGGGCUGUUCAUUUCGAAUUCAAGAGAUUACAGAAUCCAAAUUCAUCAAUCCAUGCCACCACAAAUUUCAGAUCAUUGUAUUUCAUCCAAUAGAUAAGAUAUUACAUAUCUACUAACCAGAAACCCUACACACUAACACAUAAAGAUCCACUCUUCCAAGCCCUAAAAGACGCAGACGACGAACAGAACAGAACCCACCACACUU